UCCAGAGGCAAUUUUCCCAAAGGAGGCAAAUGCUCACAGUUUACGCAGUAGAAAAGGCUUAAAUCCCUUAGAUUGGUUAGUGAAGUCAACCAUUUGGGAAAAAUGUUGCCUCCGUAGAAUAUAAUCCUUAACUCCUCUACAUUCAAAGGCGGUUGUAAGGCUUCAAGAAGUUGUUUAUCUUUCUCGUUCUUCCUCCUCCCUUCUUCGCCCUCCCCAUCUACGACUCCACCAAACUCAAGAUGCAAACGAAGGAGGUUUUUCUUAUUGUAAAGUUGUAACCUCUCAGCCUCAUCUACAUGCGAUACAUUACUCAGCCCUUCUACUCUACAUUCACGAAGGAGUUGAAGAUUUUUCAGAGAUUCAAGCCUACACGUAUUGCUACCAUCAACACCUCCACCCACCACAAACUUUUCUAAUGUUCGAAGGCUAGUCAAUUUGGAAAUCCCUAUUGGCAGGUACUUCAACGAACGAGUUUUAUCAUUCAGUAAACUCCUCAUGUUCAUUAACUUCCCAAUCCCUGCAGGCAAUUCUCUAAGAUAUUCGCACUGCCUAAUAUCUAGCUUUUGUAAAUUAUAUAAUUGACACAAAGUCUCAGGUAGUCUCUCUAACCUUAAUCCAGACAAAUUAAGAUAUUUUAAAUGUAUCAAUUUUCUAACUUUUUCUGGAAUUUCUAUAAUCAAAUUUGCCUCAGGAUGAAAACCUAAAAUGUGAUAUUGCCUCAUAACUAAUGCCCUCAAACACGCCAAUUUACUAAAUAACUCCGAAAGGAUGCUACUACUAAGAGGCCGACUGUAAGGACUUUCAUCAUAAAUUAAUAAGGUACGCAAUCUAUUAAGUCCAUGAAUGGACAUAGGAAAUGAAGUGCCUCUUUGAAAAUUUAACCCUAAGUGACGGACUUUGUCACCAAAAGAGUUUAUGACUGAUUCUUUGGUACCAUUAAUUUCUACCCACAAACAUUCUUUUCUACUUACAAAUUGGGCAAAAUCAUGUACUAUGUCAUGCAUCUUACACCCCAGAAUAUCAUCAUUGUCAUCAUCUUUUUCAAACUCUUGAAAGAAAGAGCGUGUUGCUAAGAUGUUGAAAUAUUCUUCUCCGAUCAUCUCCAUUUCUUCGUCUUCAUCUGCAUUAAGGUAACCUUGAGCCAUCCAUAGAUUAAUCAAUUCCCUUUUAUUCAUAUUGUAGUCUUUUGGAAAGACAGCACAAUAUGAGAAACACCGUUUUACCAUAGAAUUGGAGGGCAAAUCGUUAUAACUCAACAACAAAGGAGCCAAAAUACCUUGCCCAAUCUCUUCUACUUUCCACAUUUCACUCUCUAAAAUUCUUUGCCACUCUUUUAUUGUACUUUUAGAGCGCAAGAGAUUCCCUAUUACCUUUGCAGCAAGAGGUAGGCCUUUGCACUUACAUGCAAUUUUUCGCCCGAUUGGUUCUAAUUUUUCACAAUCCUCAAAGGACCUACGUAGAAAUGCUAUCUGCUUAAACAGUAACCAACAUUCCCCUUCACCCAACUCCUUGACAGGGAUAAUAUCUAUUGAUCCCAACUGCAGUGCAACUGACCUAUCACGUGUGGUAAUUAGAAUUUUACUUUCAUGGUGGCCAUUCUUUAGACAAGAAAAGAAUGGGUCCCAUUUUUUGUAAUCUCCAUCCCACACAUCAUCUAAAACAAGAAAAAAUUUCUUCCCCGUAAUAUAUUCCUGAAUCUGUUUCAUAAGAGAUUCGAAUUCGCUUAAACCAGAAGCUGACGCGCCUAGACUUUCAAUGAUUGCUUUGGCGACCCUAAUCUCCUCAAAAGUGUCUGAUACACACACCCAUAUAACUUUUUCAAAAUUUCUUUUCACCUCAUCAUUAUUAUAGGCCAGUUGUGCAAGAGUGGUUUUACCUAUACCCCCUAACCCAACUAGUGAGAUGACAUGAAGGCCUUUUUGUUGUUCACUACUUUCACACAACAACUUGCUUAAGAGCUCAUUUUUCUCAUCAACUCUACCGCAAACCUCUCCCUCAUCAAUCAAGGAGGUGGUUCGCACUCGCUCUGGUUUCUUAACAUUGCUGCUCACAUUCUCAACAAAUUUAAACGUAUCUUUUUGGGAGGCAAUAUCAUCUAGCUUUCCAUUGAUUUCCCUGAUCUUGACGGCAAUGUCAUGACGAAGACUAAGUUGUUUGAAACUACCAAAGCAGUUUGAUACAGCACAAAAGAAGGAGCGUACCUUCUUAUGAGGAGCAAGAGCAAAAGCAUUGUCAUCAUCAACGCCCUCAAUCUGCAAUUUGAGCCUUGCAGUGGUCCACUCCUCCAACACGUCUUCCAUGUCGUAAGAUGCGUCUUUGAGUUGAUCCAGCCAAAAAGUAACAGCAUUGUCGCGCUGCAUUUGCCUUUUCUCUGCAUCUUCCAGCACAGCUCGAAUGGCUCGAAGAUUGCUGGUAAGCUUUUUCACUUCUUCUCCGACACCAGUCACAAGCCUCACCUGUUGUUUCACUUCAUCAGCCGCAACGGAGAUCAGCUGCUCCAGGAGAGAGGAAACGAUCGCAUCAACCAUUCUGACAAAGAAAACGAGAAUUCUGAUGAGUUAUUAGAUGUGCUUUUGUUGCGAAGAUAUGAAAGAAAGGAGUUAUUGCAUUCUUUUAUACUGCAUAGAAAAGGUUUAUGCUUAUCCCCAACCCACACGUCAAUGAUUGUAGAAUGUUUAAUUUCCCUGAUUCUACUCCACUAGUUGUAAUAUUCUCAAGUUAUGUAUGAAAAUAGCACAAAUUUGGACCUACUGAUGAUUUUUAUGUAUUUUUUCAUAAUCUUCUAAAAUACUGUAUCUGCAUGUUAUUUCGUGCAGAAAUAUGGCAUUGGGUGAAAAAAGUUAUGCUUAUCCCCACCCACACGUUAGUAAUUGCAGUAGCAUCUUUAAUUUCCCUGAUUCUACUCCACGGACGAACACAUUUUUUGUACUAAUAUCUUUAAAUUCCCACACGUUAGGAAUUUGGCACAUAAUCUCAAACUCGUCCCAUCUUUAACGUAUGAGGUUGAUGAAUGAAUUCUUUUCUCAUGUGAAUUUAAAACUCCGAGAUUAUGUGCCAAAUUCCUAACGUGUGGGAAUUUUACCUCCUAAGUAAUCCGGCCCACUGCCAAGUGCCAACUUUUUCUCUGUCGAGUUAAUGAUGUUGUUUUGUUUUCCUUGUUUUAAUUAAUGUUGCGGUGAGAAAAAGAUCGAUGUAAAUGGCUAGCCAGGUUUUGCAGAAACCAUGAAUGGUCUUGCAUGCAUGGGUGGCUUUAAGUAUAGGCCAAAAAGAUGGUCGUCUAAGGCCCCAAAUUUUAAAAAAGCUACAAUUUUUUAAUAUUAAUAAUAAUUCUCUUAUUAAUAAAAUCUUUUAAAAAAAUUAUAUGUGUGGUAGAAAAGCCUAUUAGACAUAUCUCUAAUUAAUAAUUAUCCUAUAAUUAAUAUUUUUUUUAUAUAAAAACCUAUAAUUGGUUAUCUUAUUGUUAAAGAGAUAUAAUUAAUAAUAUUGUUUAACCAUUAAUUUAUUCAUUAUUAGUUUUUCUAAUAAAAAUAAGUAAAUUUUUUUAUCUUUUCAACUUCUUAAAAAAAAACUUAAUUAUUCAACAUUAGAAUAUUUGGCUUUGAGUAUUUCUUUUAAUUUCUACUAAAAAUCUUAUAAUCUAAAAAAUUAUAGAUGAAAAAUUUCUUAUUAUCUUCUCUACGAUGAAGAUUAUUACAUGCAUUAGUUCAUUCAAAAAAGAAAAAUAAAAAAUUAGUUACUUGAAAUACAAAGUCCAUAUCCAUUAUCUAAAAUCAGUUCAUAAUCUCAACUUUUUAUGUGCUACCAUUCUAAAUAUUCUAUUUGAAAAUAGUAUUGUUCUCAUUUAUUCGUUUGCUUCUUUUUGUAAAAUUUCUAAUGAUAAAUUUUAGAUUUUGUUUUCAAAAAUUUUUAGAAUCUUCUUGAUUAUUUGUUGAAAUUCAAGAAUAAAAACUGAAAUGGAUUUUCAGUUCUUUAUUGUUUUAUUGAAUAUUGAAAUUACUAAAUAAAAAGAGGUCUCAUAAAAAAAAAAAAAAAAAAAAGUUCGUCUAAGGCCCCUAAUACUAUAAGCCGGCCCUGCUUGCAUGUGACAUAAAGCUUUAUAGCUUAUUCCUCCAUCAACAUUUCAAUGGUUCCAUCUCACGUGCACUUGGCUAUGAAUAAGGUCCAUGCAUGGAUCGAUCGAUUUAGGAGUUUUGGACCAUCUCAUGCUGCAGAGUUAUGUGUCAUGUAUGUGUGUUGACACUUGCCAGUUCAUUUUUGUUAUAAAGAUUAUUGAUACUCAUAAAUGCACUACUUACAAAUCAUAAAUUUUGAGUUUGACACUUUAGUUUCAUUUUGUAAUCCCUACGCUCUUUAAAUAUUUGUAACAAUAUAUUUCAAACUUUAACUCAGACGUAAUGAAUGAAGGGGGAUCCUCUUCUUAUAUAAAUUUUUAUUUUUUAACGUUCAAGUUACAUUUGAUUACGUGUACUUAUUAUCUAGUUUUGACUAUCUAAUUACAUUUGAUUACGUGUACUUAUUAUAUAAAUUUUUUUAAAAAUGAUGGGUUUGGUGAGAUUUUUUACAUCUUGGAUCAGUAGGUCAAGAACAGGCAGGGCAGGGCCUUCUCUGAAGUCAAUCUUGUGAGCAACACCAGCUUUUUGGAUAAUUGGCAGCCCCAAUUCAUAAUUUUCUCUAUUGAUGUCCAUGGCCAAAAUCUGCAACCGAAGCUUAUUCUACUCUUAUUAAUCGAGAGAUAAUUUUACCUCUAAUUAAUUUAAUUGGGAGGAAAAUCGAGAGAGAUAUCCACUCUGUCCUUAUUAAUUGAGAGAUAAUUUUACCCUUACCCAAUUUAAUUGGAAAGGAAAUCGAAUUCCAACAAUAACUAGGACUUGAAUCCAUGCACUUAAGCUAACUUUAAGUUUUUGGACGCAUGGUUAUAAUGUUCUUUAUUUAAAUCCUAACAAAUGGUGGGACUUGAACUUGUGCCUACAAACAUUGAGUGCUUAGGGGCUGCAAAAUUUCAUAACUUAAUUUUAGUUGAUGUGGCAUAUGCCCUAUCACAUAAAUGUAGGUAAUAAUAAUUAAUACAUUAACAAAAUGAAAAAUAUUAGUUUACAAAACACAAAUCCAAAAUUUUUGUGUGACAGGGGAUUUAAAAGGGAGAGACUAAAUAAAUGUGGUGAAAAACGACAUGUAUUACUAAAAUUGAAAAUACGAAGUCUAGGCAAUUGAAAACAUCGGGUUUUUUAUUUAAAUAUCCCCAAUUUGUCCUUAAAUACCAAAUUUAUACUCUAUUAUAUACAUAUACCUUACGAAGAUAGGGAAGGUAAAAAAUAACCUUAAAAAAAUCAAGAAUCCACACAUUUCUUCCUCUCAGUGCAGGAAGAUGUCGAGUACGAAGUCGGGUAAGUCGAGAAUUUAGUUGAGCAAGAAUUGGAGAUAAGUAAGUCGAGUAUAUAAUCCAGUAGGAAAUUGAGUAAGCAUAUUAAAUGAGUCGAGUAUUAAGUGGUCGAGUAUUAAAUAAAAGUCAAGUGAAUUUUUUGAACAAGUCGAGUAAAAUUUAUGUAAUUUUUAAAAAGGUCAAGUAUUAAGUCGGGCAAGUACAUUGGGUCGAGUAUUAAUAUUUUUAAGGAAGUGAAGUCUAGUAAGUUGAGCAUUCAGUCGAGUGAGAAAUGAAGGCAAUUGAAUAAGUCGAGUAUCUAGUCGAGUACGAAGUCGGGUAUGAAGUAUGGUAAGUUGAGCAUUCAGUCGAGUGAGAAGUUAAGGCAAUUGAAUAAGUUGAGUAUCUAGUCGAGUACAAAGUCGGGUAUGAAGUUUGAUAAGUUGAGCAUUCAGUCGAGUGAGAAGUGAAGGCAAUUGAAUAAGUCGAGUAUCUAGUCGAGUACGAAGUCGGGUAUAAAGUAUGGUAAGUUGAGUAUUCAGUCGAGUGAGAAGUUAAGGCAAUUGAAUAAGUUGAGUAUCUAGUCGAGUACGAAGUCGGGUAUGAAGUUUGGUAAGUUGAGCAUUCAGUCGAAUAAGAAAUGAAGGUAAUUGAAUAAGUCGAGUAUCUAGUCGAGUACGAAGUCAAGUCUGAAGUCUGGUAAGUUAAGCAUUCAGUUGAGUAAGAAGUGAAAGCAAUUGAAUAAGUCUAGUAUCUAGUCGAGUAAGCAGAUUGAAUGAGUCGAGUAUUAAUUUUUUGUUGGCAUUUUGUUGAGGUUAUUUUUGUACUUUCUUCGGUUUUUUAAGUAUGUAUAUGUAAAGUUACAGAUUUUAAUAGAUUGAGAUAUAUUUUGGAUGGUACGAGAGAAACGGGGUAUAUCCCACGCAAUUCCUUCGAAAACAUAUCUGUCAAUUGCAAUGAAAAGAUCACAACCCUUCGUAAUUAAACAAAAUCAAACUUGAAAAAAAAAAAUCACACACACAAAACAAUCACAAAAACUAUUUGUUCUGAUCAUCCCUGCUUUUUUUUAGCGUAGCUCUUGGAAUGAAAAUUAACAAAAAGUGUCAAAAGAGAAGCAUUAAACACAGCAUUGAAGCACCAACCCAAAAUCCCAGAGCAACCAAAUCCCGUAAAAUGAUAAUACAGCAUCAAAACCGAAACAACAAAACUAAACACAAACUGAACAAUCUGACAAUCAGUGACCAAUCUCUUCCACUUUGGCCGCAACACCAUCACACACAAUAGAUAGUACCCGUACAUGAUCACAUGCACACUUGCAUUGGUCACAAGUGCAAUAGGAAACAAAGACUGCUUCGUCUGUAACCAAAGGUAGCACAUUACGACGACGGUUGCAUGGUGGUAGACGUGGAGGAACGUGAGCCGUUGGAUGGAGUUUGACAAAAUGAUCAAAAGGGUGUCUAGGAAUUCGAGUAUUUUGGAGAGGUAGAAGAUGUAAGCGUAGAAGAAGAGGGGACCGGAGGGAGAAAUGGUGGGGGGAAACAGAGGGUGUGACGGAGGUCGGGUGAAUGGAGGACGAUGGAGAGAGUGCAACCAACGGCCAUGACGAGGGAGAGGAGGAGGAGGGUAAGGUUAUGGACGGCUGUGAUGGGCUUGAGGAUGUGGGGUCCAAUGAGAGGUGAUGAUGAUGGUGAUGUUGGCGUUAAUUUGUGGUAGAGGAUGAAUGUGAGGGAGAGGAAAGUGAGGAUGGAGAGAAUGAGGAAGUGUGGGGAGGAAGCUGGGGUUUGGUUUUGAGUCCACGUGAAGUAGAGGAUUUGGGGAUGGUUUACAAGCCAAUAUUGGAGUGUUGAGGUGAUUGAAUUUGAAGCCAUGGCUGGUUUUUAGGGGGAGGAAAGAUUAGAAAGAGAUGAUGUUGAGAGGAGUGGGGGAGUUUAGAAAGUUUGGGAUAAUGUGAGGGGUAUUUUGGGCAUAUAAUGUUGUCUGAGCUUAAAUUUUUGUUAAAAAGAAAUAAUAAUAAUAAUAAUAAUAAUAAUAAUAAUAAUAAUAAAUUCUUUUCUCAUGUCAAUUUAAAACUCCGAGUGUGUUUCCAACAAUUGCUUUUCUUUUUCUAUUUUGGGAUUUUGAAUCAUUUUUUUUUCAAUUCAAUAAUGGCCUCUUCAAUUAUAAACUAUGGUCAAAGGGGAUGGGGUGUAGUGUCUAGGCCUCCGUGACAACGGCAUCUUUGAACGUGGGUUCCAUCAGUUUUUUUUUUUUUUUUUGACUAUUUCUGCUCAAAUCAAACUUGUGGAUUUCGUGCACUCAACGUGGAACCCUUUUGAAUGGACGCAAUGGUUUUGGUGGGAUCACACAAUCCGAAGAAGCAUGGAACUGCGACCAAUUUGUUGACAAAAAUUAGGCAUAAAAUUUACAAAUCGAAGUCAAGAGUAAGAUUUAAGUAAAAUUGAGUAACAUCUUGCACAUCGAGUAAGGAUUUCUACAAUCGGGCUAGAAAGUGCAACUAAAAUUUGGUAAGAGUUUCAUAGAGCAUAAUUUUUAAGAUACAACGUUAAGAGUAUUUAGUCGACAGUUAUAAUAUUACUUGAAUUGAUUUAAUUUCAUACUCUAAUAUAAAAAAUUUAAAACAUACUCUUAUAAUAUUACUUGAAUUGAUUUAAUCUCGUACUCUAAUAUAAAAAAAUUUAAAAUUUCUUUACUAAUUUUAUCGAAAGUAUUAUUUGACAAUCCUAUUUAUUACAUAAUAUCAACGUUUAUAUUAUAAUUACCGCUAAUACUAAAAGCUGAUCUCGUAAUUAAAAGUUAAACAAAAACUCGAGUACAAUCUAGUAAUUAAAAGCGCUAUGGUUUUUUGGCAUUACAAGAUGAUUCAAACUUGAACUUGCCAUCAAAAGUGUAUCAAAACAAUCACAGAGACUCUGUUUGACAAAUCUGCAGUAGAAUUUGCACAAUUUGACUGGGUUACAGAGAGUGAAUAAGAUUCCAAAGCAACAGGCCAUUAUUAUUAUUAAGAAAACAAUUCAUCGCUAGAACAAAAUUAACUUUUCUAACUUACUAGAAUUUAACUGGAGAAAAAUUGGAAUAUACGACGUUGUAUCACAUAUAGUAUUUAGACAUCAAGAAAAGAAUCCCUCUAUCAGUGAACUAUACUUGCCAGGAAACACGGUGAAAUACCACCACCUCCCUACUAGUUCUUAGAUGUCUCAAAAGAGUUUGAUGACGACUUCCGUGUUGUACCUCUUCGACAGGCAGCAAAAUUGGGCUAUUGACUAGGAUUAACUCCCAAGAAAUUUAUGCGGUCACCUUCUUCCGGACUAUCCUCUUUCUUCGCACUUUAGGAGCCCGUGCUUCCCCUUCAACAGAGCCGACAUUCCCUUGUUUGAUGCCAAGGAGCCCAAGCCCAGAGACAAUGGCAUUCUUUGAUAUCAACCACUUUGGGGACUUUUGAGUUGAGCCAUUGACAUCCUGAGCCGCCCCGUUGUAAGCCUUCUUCAAAAGGUCAUAUGAUUGAAGUAGCGGAUCCGCUUCCACUCCUAGCCAAGCAAGCCUUGAUCUUUCUCCUAAUUGGACAUUCAAAAAAUCCAUUUGAGAAGUUGAAGAAUAGUGUAAGUCCAACACAUAUAGGCAGUAAAGAAGAAUUUGGACGGCAAUUACUGAUUUUUUAUGCACAGGGCUGAACAAAUGGAGAUAUUAAGGCACUUAAAAGUUGGAACCGUAUUCACCACUUGUAUUUCCUUAGAGAACUAUCUCAGAGUUCAGUUAAUUUAAAACCAUUCUUAUGUAUUUAACUGUCAAACUAGAGAAAUUGUACUUCUGUAGCGAUGUCGCACUAUUGUUAAGGAUCUGGACUUGGAAAGGAUGCAAGUUGAUUAAGUCAAGAAAAAUUGAAAUAAUACUUGGUGAUAGAUCUGCACACUUCAAUAGAAACCACACUAACCUCUUAUCAGACAAAUAAACAGAUUCCCCAGUCAAAGUUUAACAAACAAAACAUUAAAACAAGGGUAAUUUGGUACGUCCAGAAUAGUCUAUCAAUGUAUAUAGAGGUGUAGAUCAAUAAACAAAUACGUAGAAGAGGGAGAGGGAGAGAUAACCUGGUAACAUCAAAAUGGUUGAAGACCGCUCUAUCAAAUCCACACAAUAGCUGAUAUCUCAUGUUUGCAUAUAGUCCAAGGAAAGCACCAAAACCAAGCUGAUCCCAUUCUUGCUUUAUCCCAUCCCGACAGAAACAAACAUUUAUUAGCUUAAUAUGUAAGAUGAAAAUAAAAAGGAAGGGAAGAGUUCCUUUGUUAUGAGAGAAAAAACACACCUCUCCUUAUGAUUCUCCAACUCCCACAAAACAGUGCAACCAAUUGUGGCAGCCUGCUCUAGUAGAAGUUUAUACAAAAAAGCAGGAUCUGCGAGCAUCCUGUGGCAACAGCAGUCAAUACAUAAGAAAUCUGAUGAGAGAUCCAACAUCUUUAAACCAAUCAAACAUCACCGAACCAUUGGAAAGUGUAUACCUAUAAUUUUUUUUUAUCCCCAAAAACUUUGUCCAAGAUAAAUGAAUGUAUAAAUCUCUUCUACUAGUCUAAGCUUUAACUGUUUUCAACUCCAAACUUCUAAAUCCAACACAGAUUCAAAACAGCCAAGAUUAAUGAGCGACAAAGCGAUAAUAACACAAAUCCCAAAGCAAUCAAAAAGCAAAACCCAAAAAAUGAUAAAUUAAAAGUAAUUCCAGGAGCUCAACAAGAAAGACUACCUGCCAAUGAAUGCCCUCGAGAUUCCCUGAGGAAGUGAACGAGAGAUGAACCUAGUAGUUGUUGGUCUGGCAUUAAUAAGACUUCAGAGGAACAUGGCAAUUAUUAUUAUUAAGAAAACAAUUCAUUGCUAAAACAAAAUUAACUUUUCUAACUUAUUAAAAUUUAACUAGAGAAAAAUUGGAAUACACGAUGUUGUAUCUCAUACGGUAUUUAGACAUCAAGAAAAGAACCCCUCUAUCUGUGAACUAUACUUGCCAGGAAAUUAACACCAGGCGAAUACCACCCCCUCCUACUAUUUAUUAGGUGUCUCAGAGCUUGAUGAGGACUUCCAUGCUGUGUAUCUUCGACAGGCAGCAAAAUUGGGCAAUUGACUACAUUAACUCCAAGAAAUUCAGAGGGCGUUAAUUAAAUACCCUUUUAACAGUAUCUUUUUAUUCUUCUCCAAUCUAACAGUUAUUUGGGAAAUCUAAAUGACAGUCAUGCAUCAAAGGCGUCAAAGUUUGGCUACAAAGCAGCCUGGAAAAGGCUUUACCCUCUGAAUGAGAGCAUGAAUUCGAAAAAUAUGAUGAAUGAAGAAACAAAGGCAUAAUACCACAAGAAGUAAAACUUUUCCCCAGAGCUCUGUUUCUGUUUAUGCUAAAGCCAAUGGAAACCGAUGGAAAUGAAUUUCUACGAAUUAGACAUAUCAGCCAAAACAGGUACUCUGUACAAGCAAAGUAAAAGAGAGUUACAAAAAAAUUUAAAUUGAUAUGAUAAUUAAAAUUUCAGUCACCAUAUAAUCAAUAGAAAACUUUGUAUACAAUGAUUUAUUGCAUAUUAAGAUUGUAUAGCUAAAUUUUAAUUGCUAUACAAAAUAUGAUAUUAGCAUUGGGAGACCGCACCAAAAAGUACCUAAUUGAAUGUGCCUUUUCACAGCCAUUGUACAAGCUUUGAAGCAUUACCACAAAUGCUUUUCAAACCCUUGAACAUGAUGCACCCAAGAGAUGCAAGAUAUGAAAUUGUUACUACAGCCAGCAUUGAAACAUAAUAUUAGCAUUAGGAGACCGCACCAAAGCAUACCGAAUUGAAUGUGCCUUUUCACAGCCAUUUUACAAGCUUUGAAGCUUUACCACAAGUGCUUUUUCCAACCCAUGAACAUGAUGCACCCGAGAGAUGCAAGCUACGAAAUUGUUACUACAGCAAGCAUUGGAGCAUUUGUUAAAAGAAGGAAGUUUAUGAAAAUAUGCCUUUGGAUGGAUACCCAUCUUCAGGAAUCAAUUCAUCCGUAACAACAAUUUUCAAGAAGUAUCAACUGCUUUAAGUUCAUCGACAUCACAGAGAACUUCAACUAAAAUAGAGCGGAUCUGGCCAUCACUAUCCCUUCUACUGCUCUUUUCCUUUAGAGAAUGCUUGAAGUACAGAAUGCGUGUAAGGGAUUCUUAUUCAAGGUCCAAUGAUCAAACCUUGCACAAUAACAACAGAGGUAGUAGUUCCUUCGCCAGCCUAAUCCUUGGUCUCAGGAAUGUCCUCAACAGGGUAUUCGAAAUCAACCUAAAAAUUAAGAAUGAGUUGGAAAACUGUUUAUGGCCCUAAAGAACUUGAAAAUCAGAAAAGAUUACGAAUGAGUGACUAAACAUUUUGAUCGCAACUAAACAUUCAAACCUUGAGAAUCUAAUUUUGAAGUACUCUUGAAUGAAUGAGCAAUUGCAGGAGAUGGUGACAACUAAGAUUACUGCGAAGUCUCUUACGAAUCCUUAAAGAUGAUACUUUACAUACCACGAUAACCUGAUAACACAGAGGAACACAAUGAACAUUAAAGUGUAUUCUGACAAUGCAAAUUUGUGGAAAUUAUCAGCUGUGGUUACCUGGACAAUAUUGCCAACACCAAGCUCCUUCCUCAAUUGAAACAUAUGAUCAGCCCACAAAUGCUUUGCUUUGUAGCUUUUGAGAGCCUGAAAUUGUUUUCACAACAACAGUGAAAAUUAGGUGAAAAAAUUGAUAAUAUUAGCAUAAUUCCAUAUGUUUAUAUAGGAUAAACCGAUCAAAGUAUGAAACAAGAUAGAAAUGAUGAUCUUAGCACCUUAACAUCAUGCAAUAAUAAUCAUCAUGUCUUUCAGGCAGCUAUCCAUCCUCAAUUGAAACAGAGCAGACCCGGCCAUCACUUCCUUCUUCAAAGUCCAGCAACCAAACGUUGCACAAUAACCACAGUGAUAAUCCUUGGUUACCCCAAUGUCCUCCAUAGAGUUUUCAAAGUCAACCUGAAAAUGAAAUAAAAAUGCAAUGCAGGUAGAAAUGAAAAUUCUAUAAAUUAAAUAAAAUAAAAAUGCAAUGCUUGAGCUUGAGCUUGCUUUAACAUCAUCAUAAUAGGGAAUUUAUAUAUAUAUAUUUACUUCUCUGUUCUUGUUUAUUCACAACAAGAUAUCAAUAGAAGAAGAUGGAAAUGAAAUUCUAUAAAAAAAAAGCAAGUGAAUUACCAGCAAAACAUUUUAGCAACCCUUUGGCUAAACUAUUCAUUUUCAUAAUCUUGCUCUCCUGGGUGCAUCAUUAGAACCAAAUUAGCGUGGACCUGCGAAUUGCUAGUGUAGUUCUGACAUUUCCUCGAAUCCCUGGUGAACAUAAUUAAACUCGUAUGAAAUAAAACAAAGUGGGCUCAUGUACUACUAAAAACAAUCACACAAUUACUUUAAAGAAUUAAUGUCACAUAAAUUAUGUAUAAAAAAACACGAUUAUCAUUAUACAAGAUAACAUUGAUAAUUUAGUUUUCAACAUUACUGCAAAUGUAUCACAGAGAUUUUGUCUCUCAGGAAGUUACACAACAAAUUUUUGUGCAUUAAAAAAUAAAAUUCGUUAGGAUUUUCUAUGAUGUUGUAUGAAAUUUUACAAAAGACUACAUAUUUUUUAAAAGAAAUUAUAGAAAUUUCAACAGACUGCACUUGUUUUUUAUUUUAUUAUUAUUUUAGCUUUAGAAAACAAGUUUAACAAAUUUGAUGACUAGGAAGUUUAAAUUUUAAAUAAUUGAAAUUAAAAUAUUAUCCUAACUAACCUUUAUGAACAAUUGAUUAAAUUUAACACUACAUAUUUAUACUAUGAUUGAUUCUGUAAUUUUUAUAAUAGCAUCAUAAAGUGACCCAUUAAAUUAAUGGUGGAAGUAAAUAGUUAAAUUCAAUACGCAAAUCAAAAUAUUAGAAAAUAUUGUAUAUUCCUGUUAGACAUUGGGCAAUAUAUAGAAUUUUAAUUCAAAAUAUGAUUAUUUUUAUUAAUUUUAUUGCAAGCAACAACAGAGUAAAUCAGUGGAGGAGGAGAAAUUACCGGCGAGUGAUAUCUUACGCCGACCGCAUGAUGUGGGGAAGGUGAGAUAUCUUAUGCCUGUCUUCUCCUUCCCCUUCUCUGUAACCCCAAAUUGUCAAUGUCUGCAGUGUCGUUGUUUGAAUUUACCACUCGAUGUGGGGAAUGUGAGAUAUCCUAUGCCAGUCUUCUCCUUUCCCCUCUCUAUAACGGUUUUCCAGAAGAGGACAUCCCUGAAUACUCAAUUGCUGCAGCGUCGUCGUCCGAAGAAGGUAAUCCGGCAGCACCUUUAAUUUGGGGCAAUACUCAAUUUCCAAGGAAGAAAGACGUGGUAUGUCUGUUGUCCUGUGAUCUUCUAGAAUGGGCAGUUCUUCCAUAAUUGGACAAUAAGAAAUACUCAAUUUCUGCAGUGUCGUCGAUUGAAAAAGGUAAUCCGGCAGCACCCUUAAUCUGGGGCAAUGCCAAAUCGUCAAGGAAGAAAGACGCGGCAUGAUGGAGAUGUUUUCCUUUCUUGUAAUCCUAUAAUUCCACUCUUCCAAUUCUUCCAUUGCCCCAACGUGGAGUGAUUUUAAUUUGGGGAAGGCAAUGACUGAUGAUGAUGAUGAAGAUGAAGAUGGGUCAUCCUCACUGCUUCCUUCGAUUCCCAAAAACUCAUUACCCACUCUUUUCACACCAUACAGGCCGUAAAGGGUGAGUUUUUGCAGCGGCAAUUUUCCCAAGGGAGGAAAAUGCUCACAGAUAACGCACGAUUUAAGUCUUAAAUCCCUUAGAUUGGUUAGUGAAGUCAACCAUUUGGGAAAUAUGUUGCCUCCGUAGGAUACAAUCCCUAAUUCUUUUACAUUCAAAGGCGGUUGUAAGGCUUCCAGAAGUUGUUGAUUCUUCCUCCUCCCUUCUUCACCUUCCACGUCAAACUCAAGAGAUAAACGAAGGAGGUUUUUCAUAUUGUGAAGUCCUAAUCUCUCAGCCUCAUCUAAAUGUGACACAUUACUCAGCCCUUCUAUUCCACAUUCUCGAAGGAGUUGAAGAUUUUUCAGAGAUUCAAGCCUACACGUACUGAUAUCAUUAACACCUCCGCCCACAGCAAACUUUUCUAAUGUUCGAAGACUGGUUAAUUUGGAAAUCCCUAUUGGCAUGUACUUCAGCGAAGGAGUGCCACCAUUCAGUAAACUCCUCAUGUUCUUUAACUUCCCAAUCCCCGCCGGCAAUUCUCUAAGAUCUUCGCACCACCUAAUAUCUAGCUUUUGUAAAUUAUAUAAUUCACACAAAGUCUCAGGCAGUAUCUCUAUACAUAAUUCAGAAAAAUUAAGAUAUUUUAAAUGUAUCAAUUUUCCGACAUUUUCUGGAAUUUCUCUAAUCAAAUUUGGGUAAGGAUCAAAUAUAAAAUUCCGUUGCCCUAUAACUAAUGCCCUUAAACACGCCAAUUUACUAAAUAACUCCGAAAGGAUGCUACUAUUAAGAGACGGAUUGGAACGACUUUGGAAAUAAAUUAGGAGGGUCCGCAAUCUAUUAAGUCCAUGAAUGGACAUAGGAAAUGAAGCUCCUCCUUCAAAAUUUAACCCUAAGUGACGGACUUUAUCACCAAAAGAGUUUAUGACUGAUUCCUUGGUACCAUUAAUUUCUACCCACAAACAUUCUUUUCUACUUACAAAUUGGGCAAAAUCAUGUACUAUGUCAUGCAUCUUGCAGCUCAUAAUAUCAUCAUCAUCAUCAUCAUCAUCAUCUUUUUUAAACUCUUGAAAGAAAGAGCGUGCUGCUAAAAUAUUGAAAUACUCUUCCCCAGUCAUCUCCAUCUCUUCGUCUUCUUCUGCAUUAAGGUAACCUUGAACCAUCCAUAGUGAAAUUAGUUCCUUUUUUUUUAUAUUGUAGUCUUUCGGAAAGACAGAACAAUAUGAAAAACAUCGUUUUACCAUAGAAUUGGAGGGCAAAUCAUUAUAACUCAACAACAAUGGAGCAAAAAGGCCUUGCCCAAUCUCUUCUACUUUCCACAUUUCACUAUCUAAAAUUUUUUGCCACUCUUUUAUUGUACUUUUAGAGCGUAAGAGAUUCCCUGUUACCUUUGCAGCAAGAGGCAGGCCUUUGCACUUGCGUGCAAUUUUUCGCCCGAUUGGUUCUAAUUUUUCACAAUCCUCGAAAGAGCGACCGGAAAAUGCUAACAUCUUGAACAACAACCAACAUUCCUCUUCAGUCAAUUGCUCAAUGAAGAUAAUAUUUGUUGAUCCCAUCAUACGUGCAACUGACUCAUUACGUGUGGUAACCAAAAUUUUACUUCCAUGGAGACCAUGCUUUAGACAAUGGAAGAAUGGUUCCCAUUUAUUAUAAUCCCCAUCCCAUACAUCAUCUAAGACAAGAAAAAAAAUUUUUCCUUCAAUUGAUCUAUGGAUAUGGCUUAGAAGAGAUUGGAAUUCGCUUAAACUAGAAGUUGACUCACCUAGACCUUCAAUGAUUGCAUUGGCAACCCUAAUCUCCUCAAAAGUGUCUGAUACACACACCCAUAUAACUUUUUCAAAAUUUCUUUUCACCUCAUCAUUAUUAUAGGCCAGUUGUGCAAGAGUGGUUUUACCUACGCCCCCUAACCCAACUAGUGAGAUGACAUGAAGGCCUUUUUGUUGUUCACUACUUUCAAACAACAACUUGCUUAAGAGCUCGUUUUUCUCGUCAACUCUACCACAGACCUCUCCCUCAUCAAUCAAGGAGGUGGUUGGCGCUUGUUUCGGUUUUUUAACACGGUUACUCACAUUCUCAACAAAUUUAAACCUAUCUUUUUGGGAGGCAAUAUCAUCUAGCUUUUCAUUGAUUUCCCUAAUCUUGACAGCAAUGUCAUGACGAAGACUGAGUUGUUUGAAACUACCAAAGCAGUUUGAUACAGCAGGAAAGAAGGAACGUACCUUCUUCUUGUGAGGAGCAAGGGAAAAAGCAUUGUCAUCAUCAACGCCCUCAAUUUGCAAUUUGAGCCUUGCAAAGACCCACUCGUCCAACACAUCUUCCAUGUCGUAGGACGCGUCUUUGAGCUGAUCCAGCCAAAAAGUAACAGCUUUGUCUUGCUGCAUUUGCCUUUGCUCGGCAUCGUCCAGCACAGCUCGAAUGGCUUGAAGAUUGCUGGUAAGCUUUUUCACUUCUUCUCGGACACCAGUCACAAGCCUCACCUGUUGUUUCACUUCAUCAGCCGCAACAGAGAUCAGCUGCUCCAGGAGAGAGGAAACGAUCGCAUCAACCAUUCUGACAAAGAAGACGAGAAUUCUGAAGAGUUAUUAGAUGUGCUUUUGUUGCGAUGAUACUGAAAGAAAAGGAGUUAUUGCAUUCUUUUAUACUGCAUAGAAAAAGCUUAUGCUUAUCCCCACCCCACACGUCAAUGAUUGUAGAACGUUUAAUUUCCCUGAUUCUACUCCACUAGUUUUCAUGCGUAAUUAUAAAUAUUCUCAAGUUAUGUAUGAAAUAGCACAAAUUUGGAUCUAAUAAUGAUUUUUAUGCUUUUUGUGUGUUCACUUUUUCAUAAUCUUCUACUUUAAAAAGUGAGCACAAAAAUAAUAUCAAGCAUUAACUCAAAUUCACAAAGGAAUAAAUGACGAAAAGAAAAAAGAUUGGAGAAAUCAUAUUGGUAAAUUAGCACAUUGUUUUUUUAAUAAUCUCGAUAAAAUUAGUAAUAUUCAUAUUAGUCCCUAAAAAAUAAAUAGAUAUGACUAAAGAAAACUCUUGGUAGUCUCCACGAUCAGAAUUUAUUGAAAUAUUUUUAGCCUAGGUAAAAAAGCAAGUUCCCAACUUCACCGUUAGGUAAAUCUGAAAUCCUUUCUCGCAGACUUUUGCACAAAAUAGAGUGUGAGUACUACAUUUUACGAUCUAACAAAAUGAUUUUUAUUAUUGUAAAACUAUUAACAAUAACCUAAAAUACUUUAUCUGCAUGUUAUUUUUAUUAUUAACAAUAAACUUUUAACAACUUUUAUGCAAAGGAGUCCCCACUCUCUACCUGGGGAAUUUGGCAUUGGAUGCAAAAAUUAUGCUUAUCUUUAAUUUCCCUGAUUCUACUCCACCGAUAAACACAUGUUCUGCACUAACAUUUUUAAAUUCCCACACAUUAGGAAUUUGGCACAUAAUAAUAAAUAUUCUCAAAUUCGUCGCAUCUUUACGUAUGAGCGAGUGUUCUGUCUAUUUCACUUUUCUAUCUUACUGCAAUUUCAAGGCGGCUCAAUCAUAUUUUAGGUCUUAAAUAAAUUGAUUUAAUUAGACUUUCUAAAAAAUUUGAGGUGAAAUAUGUGUAUUAAUUUUAUUAAAGUUUUAUUUAUUUAAAAUAAAUUUCUCUACCUUUCUGAGAUGCAAAAUUAUUAAUCAACUUUUUAUAUUCUAAUUUUGCUAAUAUAUCUUUCUCAAUAGAUAAUAUAGUUAACUUAUUUAAUCUUUCCUAUGACAUGGUUGAUCUUAAAUAAUUUUUUAUCAAUAGCACGUUUUUAGAUUAAGCUAACUUUUCUAUUCUUCUCCUUUUAUGAAGUUUUUUGUAUCAUGAUGCAUAGUUUUUAGUAGACAUUUUUUUUUUCUAAGGAAACAAGAGUAAUCAUGCAAACAAUUAUGCUAGAUAAUUAAAAGCAAACAACCUAUGAGCAGAAUAAUAUUUUUACAAAAAAACAAAAACACCUAAAUAACACAAUUAAUUAAUAAGAGAAUUGGAAGAUAAAACCUGAAAAUUUGAGAAAUUUAACUUUGAUGGAUUGAGGCUUUGAGCAACAAUGAUCAAAAGAAAGUAAAACAAUUAAUUUUCUUUUCUUCCUUAUGCAAAAAGUAAGGUAGAGAAAGUAGUUUUUUCACCAAAGCAAUGAAGGUUUUGUGUUUUUUUUAUUGGAAAAAGAUAUUAAUGGAUAAUAAUUUAAAAAAGGUGUGGCCUUUAUAGAGUUUUAAAUGAAAUAAAUGGAGGAAAUAAAUGGAUUAUAAUUGUUAAUUAUAUUGUUAAAAGGGGAUUUUGUAAGAAUCUAGUAGUUUGUUUAUGGAAAAUAUAGUUAUAAAUAAUAAAUAUAAAUCAAUAAUUAAUAACUAUAAUUUAGGAAUUAAAUUAGAAACCUUCAUUUAUAAUGGGGUCCUAGGUUAAAUGUGGGGUCCUGAACAACCACCUAAAUUAUCCUAAGUUGCCUGAGGUAAGAGCCGCUCCAAACUGUAAUGUCAGGUAGAGGAAUUCAGUUCCCCCAAGGGAUGGAAACGAUGGCAUCAACCAUUUGAUGUUCGAUUUAAAUGCUAAAUUUUACAUUUGCUUUUGUUGCGAAAGUGCUCAAGGGAAAGUAGCUUUUGUGUAUUCAGUCAGAAUGCUCAUUCAAGCAUUUUUGCAUUCUUCUUAUGCUACAUGAGAUAUUUAAUUUUUACCCUUGAGUCGAUGUCAAUGUAAAUGCUUUUAUGCUGCAAAUUAAAGAAAUCCCAAUAGCCGUCACCGUCUCGGGCUAACUUUCCGCUCCACCACAACAAUAAUUGUACAACAUCUGCCCUGUUUCUCUGAUUCAUAAUAAUUAUGCAGAUUACUCAGCACCAACAUUUGUAAAUUUCUUACAUUAUAAGUAACAAAAUAUUUGUAAACUACGACAAAAACUUAAAACAAUCUACCGAUGAACCUUCUGAAGUUAUAUAUAAUAGAUUAACUUAACCUAGAAUAAUCUUAGUGCUGUAACAAUUUCAAAAUAAAUGAUGUUUUAUUAUAAAAACAUGUCCAAGUAAUUGUCCCAUAUAAAAGGUAUCUUUCCACUUAAGAAUGUAUCAUUUCAUAUUGUCAUUUCAUUUGAAAUGGUGAUGGACCAAUUUAGACAAUUGAUUAAAAUCAAAUCUUGAUCCAAUGACCAUAAAUGAAUGGGUAUCAUGAAAAAUGACAAUCCAAAUGGAGGGCACAAGUAUAUUUAUAAAUAGAGGCCAUGUUUAGUGAAAUUCUAGUUAUGCAACCCAAGAGGGGGGGUGAAUUGGGAUUCUAAAAAUUAUUCAAUUUUUAAAGCAUGCAAAUAUAAAACGAAUUUAAAGCAAUAACAAAUAAAUUUAUCACAAUAUAAAAAGAUAAGGUAAGAGAGAUUCAAACAUAAGGAUUUUUAUGUGGUUCGGCCAACCUCGCUUACGUCCACGCCUCCAAGCUUUCUGAGCUUCAGGAUUCCACUAAGCAAGCUUCCAAGACUUCAAAUGCUUACACUUGACUUCUAAGGUGUCAAUAAACCUUUACAACAAGAGAUUAUCCCCAAUCUCUUAACCCAAGUGUAUCCCAACACUUACAAUCACUCAAUUUGAUUUUAAAGAAUGUUACAAAAUAAAUUUCUCUCACACUAUGUGUUUGAUUACAAAUGAAGACUCAAAGUGUGAGUAAAUGAGAUGAAUAUAGGAAUUUAAGGCUCAAUGAAUGUUGUAUGCUCAAGACUUUGCUCAAUAAUAAUUGUUGGAAUCGUUUUAGUUUGAAUUUGAUUGAGCAUAUUUAUUGCUGGAGCUGAAAACUAGCUAUUAUUGACUUUCUGCACACUGUCGGAUCACCGUUUUAAAUAGUCAAUAUGACCGUUGGGCUGAAUUCUUAAAUUGUUGGAUCGCCGUUAUCUAGAUGUCGGAUCGUCGUUAGUGUCCAGAGACUAAUCUUCAAUUCUGUGCAAUGUCGGUUAGCCGUUAUCAAGUUGUCGGAUCACCGCUAGUGUCCAGAGGCUAAUCUUUAGUUCUAUUCGAUGUCGGCGAGCCGUUAUCAAGAUGUCGGAUAGCCGUUUUCUACAGUAACUACUACAGGGAACUAUUUUGUAAAAUAAUAGUUUGACCCCAAAACUUCAGAAAAUUAUACUAUGACCCAACACUUUAUAAAACUUGUUAAAUAGAUCCAUUUAUAGGAUUUGAAACAAUAUUUGUUAUUAUCAAAAUUCUCAAAUCUUUUUCAAUUGAAACCAUUAACAUGAGAAUAACCAAAAAUAUUUCCAUAGAAUAUAAAGUCUUUAUAAAGUGAGAGUGAUGAUUUAAAAGUAUAUGAAAAUUAUUUUGAGCUUUUAAAAGAUUAAUCAAUCUUAAUUAAAUUUGUUAUCAUCAAAAUCAAUAAUAAAGAAAUAUUUAUGUUAGCAAUCUUCCCCUUUUUGAUGAUGACAAACUGUUCAAGAAAAUAUUUGUGCAAUUUUGCUCCCCCUAAAUAUGUGCUCCCCCUAAGUAAAAUAUUUAAGGAAUUUAACUUCCCCUAAAUAUGUGCCCAUCAAUUUUUAAUCUCAUAAAAAAAAAUUUAAAUAGAACAGAUUGAAUCGAUAAAUUAUAUCAUCAAUUUUUAAUCUCAUAAAAAAAUUUUAAACAGAACAUAUUGAAUUGAUCAAUUAUCUCCCCCCUUAAUCAUAAAAAAGAAAUGAGCACAAAAAGAGUAAAAAUGAGAAGUUCAGAGAGUACCCAUGUUGGAAAAAUUUUGGCAGAAUCUCCCCUUAAAAAUGAACAUAUCCUCAACAAUACAAAUAGUUAAAACACUCCCAUAUAUACAUUCCAACUUAUCAACCAACCUCCAUUCCAACGAAUUCAAUAUAAUCAUGAACAAUAACCAAACAUGUCAUCAAAAUCAACGAAAUCAUAAAUUGUAAUACCCCACACCCGAUUUUGACCCUGUUGACCACCCUUAUAAAUUGAGAGAGAGAGAGAGAGAGAGAAAGGAAAGAGAGAAUAGAAGAGAGAGAGAGAGAGGGGAGAAACCGAACCGGAUCCAACCCGACCCGCGAGCGCGACCCGGCCGGUUCUCCCAUUUCUGGCCACCAUUCCGGUCAAGGUUGGUACCGAUUUGAAGCUUGAGAGACGAGCAACGUAUCCAUGCCGUCCUUGCCGCCGGAAAUCGAUCGGAAAGCCACCGAUCGAAGCUUUGAAGUUCCGCGGAAUCGCCGCCUCGAUUCACUGUGAUUUCGCUGGUUUCUGGUGAAGGCAUCACUUGGGUUUUGUUCCUUCGACCAUUUCCGACUAACCACUCACGUUGGGGACGUCGUUUUGUCGUUGGUCGGCCGUUGAAGGAUUCAUGACUUCGGGAGCUCGAUCUGAAGCCAUCACCGCCCGUGGGAGGUCACCACCGCCACCAUUGGACUCAGCGUGGCUUGAACUUUCAGUUCUGAGCUUCCCGUUGCCGUCGGUUGAAUUCUGGUGACCGUUGACCAGCAAGGGUAUUUCAGUAAUUUCACAAUCUAAGGGCAAUUUUGUAAUUUCAAAUUUUGUGGGUAUUUUAGUAAUUGUUGAAAUUGAGGAUAAACUUGGUAAUUUAUGAUUUUGAGGUUAAUUUGGUAAUUUUGAUAUUUGAGGGUAUUUUGGUAAUAUUGAAUUCAAGGGCAUUUUGGUAAUUUUGAUCUUUGAGGGUAAUUUCAAAAUUUCAAGAAUUAUCAGUAUUUUGAUGAUUUAUGAUUUAAAUUAAGAUUAUUUGAGGUGAAGUAUGAAAUGUGAUUAUAUUGAGGAAUUUGAGAAUAUUGGAGUAUAUGAUUAUGGUUUAAUUUUAUUCUUAUGAGAGUAUUUUUAUUUAUUUUUAGGCCGAUGAUAUCGAUGUGCAUUUGUUACUCAAGGAUACCAGGAGGUAAGUAAACUAGAUUUCCAAACGAAUCACAAUAAACAAUAUAUAUGUUUGACAUGUUUGGAAAGCCUAUUUUUAUAUAAGUACGGAUAUUGAUUUAUAUGCUCUGCCCAUGUGUUUAUACGAUAUGUUGAUAUGAUGUGUUGUUAUGUGUGUUUAUGGACAUGGGCAUACGUAUGUGUGAAUAUUUCAUUGGCAUGAGCACGAAAUGCAUUAUGUUUUCUAUAAAAUGAGAAAGUGAAUUUUAGCCAAAUGGAAUUUGUAGAAAGAAAGAUUGUUUUACAGUUUUAGCUUGGAUGCUUGAAUUCGUUAUUGGCUUAGUGGAAGACACUCUAGAUGUUUAUAUAGUUAUGAGAUAAGUGGGCGAAGGACGCAUUGGCGAGAAGCCCAAAGAGUAUGAAAGUUAUGAAAAUUAUGAAAGUUAAGGGAGUGUCCUACUAAGCGGUAAUCGAAUAAAGGUAGCUCAAGUAAGUGGUUUGAAAGAGAAUGUGAAAGUUUGAGAAAGACAUAAUGAGAUUUCAAUUAUUUUUUUUACGAUGUUUUCGAAUAUCAUGGCACGUCAUUCAUUUGCACUAUCUAUAUGUAUGUAUGUAUUUUGGUAUAUGCAAAACUAGUUUACUUAUUGAGUUUCGUACUCAUUAUAGUUUAUUGUGAUUCAGUUUCCGUAAAUCAGGAUUGAUUCGUGAUGAUCGUCGAGAAGGACUUGAAUGGAGGAAUUAGAUGGUUUGGCAUGAAUUUUAAAUUCUUCCGCUGCAGUUUACGUUUUAUAUUUGUAUUUUCAAGGAUAUAAUUUUUAUGGAUUGUAAAAGGAUUAUUAUUAUUUAUUAUUAUUUUAUUUUUAAGCAUCUAUCAGUAAGAUUCGCCCUGUGGAGGUCGGGGUGGGUCGUUGCAUAAAUAAAAUUCACAUAUCCAAUAAAAACAUCAUAAAAGCAUCACAAGAACAAUAAAAAAAAAACAAAAAGUACCACAACAAACUACAUGAAAUGAGUAAUGUUUGUGCGAAAAUCAUAGGGGCAGAAAAUUAAGAUGGGGGCGGUGAAGAGGAACUUCCGGGAUCAUAGCCAAGGCGACCAAGAAUACGGCACUGUCCAGCAAGUAACUUCAUCUGCUGAUUUAAUAUCUGCCGCCGAAAAGUCACAAAAUCAGAUUGAAGCUGCUGCUGCUACUGGGAGAGUGUAUCCAUCUUGUCGAAGAGCUGCUAAAAGCGGUCCUCAGAAGCAGAAGAUGCUGCAAGAGGGAUGGCUGGCUCAGUUGGCUUGUCAUCCGAAGAGGAAGCUGCUGCGGAUGCUGCUGCUGUUGCUCGGCGAGGGGCACGCGGUCUAGCCCUAAGGCGGAAGUCGGGUAACUCACCCUUGAAAUAGACAUCAUUUAGCAUGCUAUCAUCCUCUGGAGCAAUAAAAGUGUCUUCAUUCUUAGAGGAUGUUGUCUUUUCCCACUUCCCAUUCUUCUUAAAAAAUCCGAUCGCAGACAUAAUCUCUCGACCGAGCUUUCGGGUCUCGAGAUAAACAGGCUUAGUGGUUAAUGGGCCAAGAGUGAAGCACUAUAUGGGAGAUGAGGUGAACAGCCUAAUGAAGGAUCGGUUCUUAAAGGAUCGAGGUUGAGGAAACAAGAAAGGUCAGGCUUAAAGACCUAAAAUCAAGCGCUAAUUGGGAGGCAACCCAAUAAGGGAAGUUGUUUUAACUUUUUAAAGCAUUAAAUUUAGUUUUUAAAUUAUUGAAUUUGUCUUGCUGUUAUUUUAAGUGUGCAUCCAAUUUUUUAUGUCUUUGUGUUAAAUUGCAGCAGGUAAAAAAAAAACAAAAAAAUGCGAAAAAAAGAGUAGCAAAGAAUUACUGCAGCAUCACUUACAGCAUGACAUAUAACAGAAGAUUCUCAAACAAUAGAGGCAUUUCUUGCUUUUGCAGCAGUAAAUGGAUUGAUCAGAUUUUAUGAUAAGGAGCGUUUGAGAAGUAUAUUAAAGAAAAAGUGACCUUUUACAGCCUAUGCUGCAACAGUGCUUCCAGUAACCGGGCAGUACCCCUAACCGCUAGUUUAUUUUACUUCUUGCUGCAAAACUUUUCUUUCAUUUAGUUUUAAUUUUCUAAUUCAUUCUGCAUGUCCUUUUAUUUAGUGUAUACAUGUCUGGUUUAUGUGGUUUUGUUUUGUGUGCUUGUGAGGACACAACAUCACUCAAGUUUGGGGGGGUUAUGUUUCUGAGUGCAUGUAUUUAUGCUUGUGUUGUAUGAAGCUUUGUUAUCUAAUAUUUGUGUAUGAAUUUGAAAACCUAAUGAAGAUAAAUUGAGUGCUAUUCAGUAUUUAUGAGAAAGCGAAGUAGAGAUAGUUAUAGAUGGGGGUUGAACUUCUGUCCCGACACUUAGACUUUGGUUGAGUUUUACGAGAAUGCAGUAGCAGAGCCAGGAAAACGAAAAAAGAGUAGAAAAUAUCUAAAGUUUGGGGGAAAAUUUUUGUUGAACUGUGCUUGUUAUGAAAUAAAUUUUGCUCCAAUGGCUUAAGUUGUUGAGUAACCAAGGUUGAGUGUGUACCCCAUAUGCAAACUUGAGUCCAAAGGUAGAAAGAGUUAUGAGCAAUGCUGCAGCAAUUAUAUAUUGAAACAAAAGAAAAAAUGGUGAUGAAGGAAUGAAAAAUAAAGAGGUCCGCUGUCUAGGAUACUGAGUAAUUUGGUCUGUUCAUGAGCCCCAUGUUCAGCCUUGAGUCAAAGGCGUCCAAAGGCAAGACCUAGAUAUAACAUCCUAAAUGUGUUGCUGCAGUAACUCUGACAUGUACUUUGAGUGAGUAAUUGGGUGUCGUCAUUACAAGUGAUGGGCACUCACAUGAAAGCUCAAUGUUGCAUUGAAGGGUUUAACUGAAAAAAAAAGUAUUAUUAUUGUAGCACAGUUUGAGUUUAUUUCUGAAUUUUACUCCCUCAUAUGUGAAUAUAUUUGUGUUCUAUCUCUGAAUUAUAUGCCUGUGUAAUGUUGUAGCACCUCUGAAACUUGAUCAAAGUGGCACACACACACUCUGCACAGAAUGAAGCCUAGUUCGAGAACUAAACUAUUAUGGUUAUUUUGCGUGAUUAAGAAUGUGAUAUGAGGGUUGAAGAAUCCUUACAAAUUUGAUGACAGAGCUAAGUUAUUUGUUGAAUGAUUGUGUGAUUGAAGUGUUAGUGUUAUUGUCAUUACUUGAGGACAAGUAAUGGUUUAAGUUUGGGUGUGUGAUAACUCUAUAAAAUGAGAGUUAUUAUGGCACUUUUAGACUUAAAUCAAUAUGGUUUAAAGAGUAAAUGAUGUGUUUCUAUUGUAUUUUGUUACAUUUUGCAUAAAUAUUCAUUUUAAUUUAGUCUUAAUAAGUUUUGCUCGAUUUAAAGUAAUUUGUGCUCAAAUUGUGUGCAAAAUUGUAGGUUUCCAGAAGUUUAUAAUUCAUGGAAGGAAUGCUAUGCAAUAAGGUUGCAAAAAUAAGGAAAGAACAUGGCUAAAAAAGAGUUGAAACAAAUCUGAAACAAUGCAGUUGCUGUAGAUAUUGCUGUAGCAACCAUUGCUGUAGCAAUCCUGGAACAACGACAGAGAAAAUUUCGCGCGGGAUACUUGCAGAAUUGCGAUCUGCAGUUUCCUAAUCAGACUUAUGCGCGCCCUAGGGUUCCGUUUACCCUAAUUUUCAACUAUAAAAGAAGCACACAUCAUAAGGAAAAGAGGGAGCCGUCACCCAAGGAGAAAAACACAAAGAAACAAAAGAAAAACAAGAUUCAAGAGAGAAAUUAAGGGCUGCACAAGAGGAGAAUUUACAGAAAUCAAUUGGGAGCUCAAUCCUUCUUAUUCUUCUCUUGUUUUCGUGUUUUCUAUUUAUACAUGGGGAUGCAUUUCAUGACUGAAACUUUGUUCUUUAUUUUUUUUUUUUUUUGCAAACCAUGAACUAAAUUUAUUUGUGGUUGAGUGAUAAACAAUCUUGAUGGUUUAUUGAUUGAAUACAUGUGUUGUUGCAUGUUUACUGUAGCAGUUUGUUUUGAUAGUAUUUAUUUUUAUUCAUUAUUUCGGUUGAUCACCCAUUUAAUAAUACAAGUUAGGAGAGAGCCGCAAAAGGGCCUAUCUUAGUGGAACAUAUCAGAGCAAUACUUGGUUUAGAUUGAGUUUCCUGGAUUGAGUUUAACUUAUUCCAAAAGGGCCAUGCUUCAUUUAAAAUUAGUGAUGAACUAGACAUAUGGAUUCACCUUGUAGGGUGAAUAGAAUCUAAGCGUGUAAUACUAUAUCUUAUGUUGGCAUAACAACUGAUCACUGUUAGGUUACAUAUAGAUAUAAGAUAUCCAACAUGCGACAGCUGAGGAUACAUAAGGAUUCUGCCCAGUGUUGUAGCAAAUACUGCAGCAACCGAGCCAACCAUUAGAAAAUAGUCAAGACCAUUAGGAGAGUUUAGUCACUCAACUACUAUAUAUUUCCAUUAGUUUUAUCAUUGAGCUUGAUGUGAUAGUUUACUUUGUUGCAUUUAUUUAUUGUGUUUUUAUUUUAAUUAGUACAUUAGUUUCAUUAAUUGUUUAUUUUAUUUUAGCACAAAAUCUGCACUGUUAAGAUUGUUGUAGCAAAUCUGAUAACAUCAAUCCUUGUGGAGACGAUCUUGAAUACUCAUCACUUUAUUACUUGUUGUGUACACUUACACAUUGACACCAAUAGCAUUAGUAUUUAUACACCAACAGUACCUAUGACAGAUUGAUGUUCCGGUUUAGGAACUAAUUCCCACACAUUGUUUCUUUUAAAUUGAUUUAACUCCUCUUGUAUUGUCAUAAUCUAAGAUUCAUCAUUUUCCGCAUCCUCAAAGGAUUUGGGUUCAAUUUGAGAAAUAAAUGCAUUAUGCUCACAAGUAUUCCUAAGUGAUGAUCUAGUUGUAAUACCUCGUGAGGGAUCUCCUAAAAUUACAUUCUUAAGGUGAGAAGAAACAUACCUCCACUCUUUUGGGAGUGAUUGAAAAGUACCUUCAUUUUACUCUACAUUUGUUUCUUUAUGUUGCUCAUCUUGAUUCCCAUGAGACGCAUCCUUUUGGUUAUCUUUUGAUGACUCUUUUUGUAAGUCUUCAUCUGCAUCAUUAUCAACAACAACUUUCUCCGUAGAGGAGGGGUUAGAUUCAUCAAAUAUAACAUGCAUCGAUUCUUCUACAACUAGAGUUCUUUUGUUAUAAACUCUAUAAGCUUCACUUGAGUUUGAAUAUCCAAGAAAAAUACCAACAUCGGAUUUUGAAUCAAAUUUGCCAAGAUUAUCUUUUGUGUUCAAAAUAAAACAUUUGCAUCCAAAAACUUUGAAAUAACCAAUAUUGGGUUUUCUAUCUUUCCAAAGCUCAUAUGGAGUUUUAUUAAGAUUAGGUCUAAUCAACACAUGAUUUAAAACAUAACAAACGGUGUUGACGGCCUCGGCCCAAAAAUACUUAAGCAAGGAAUUUUCAUUCAACAUAGUCCUAUCCAUUUCUUAAAUUGACAUAUUCUUUCUCUCAACAACUCCAUUUUGUUGUGGAAUUCUAGGUGAUGAAAAUUGAUGCACAAUGCCUAGAUUAUUGCAAAAGGUUUCAAAUGCAUAGUUUUCAAACUCUCCUCCAUGAUCACUUCUAAUGCAUGCAAUACCAUACCCUUUUUCAUUUUGAAUUUUCUUACAAAGUACUUUAAAAGCAUCAAGAGCAUCAUCCUUAUUAAUUAAGAAUAAUACCCAAGUGUAUCUUGAAAAAUCAUCAACAAUUACAAAAGCGUAAUAUUUUCCAUUCAAGCUAGCAUACCUUGAAGGUCCAAAUAAAUCUAUAUGAAGUAAUUGAAGCGGUUUUGAAGUAGAAAUAUAAUUUUUACUUUUAAAAGAGGUUUUGAUUUGUUUACCAAAUUGGUAUGCUUCACAAAUUUUAUCUUUUUGAAAACCAAUUUUUGGAAGACCUUCAACUAAAUCAUUUUUGGAAAUCUUUGAAAUUAAAUCCAUGCUUGCAUGUCCUAGUCUUCUAUGCCAUAACCAACUAUCAUCAUGCAAUGCCGAAAAACAUUUAUCAUUAGUGGAUGCACAUUCUAUGUCAAUGGUAUAAACAUUACCACAUCUAUUUCUAAUAAAUAAAAUCUUGUUAUCACAUGCAUUCUCAAUAAUACAUUUAGAUUUAUCAAAAGUAAUUUUAUAACCUUUGUCACACAAUUGACUAAUAUUAAUCAAAUUGUGUUUCAAGUUUUCAACUAAACAUACAUUUUCAAUUAAAGUUGACGAAAUUUUACCGACAUUUCCAACUUCGAGAAUCUUUCCUUUUGAGUUAUCUCCAAAAGAAACAUCUCCACCAUUUUUGAUUGUGGUGAAACUUGAAAACCAUGCAUAGUUUCUGGUCAUGUGCCUUGAGCAACCACUAUCCAAGAACCACUUAUUUUUCUUUUUCUUUAAUCCCUGCAGAAAAAGUUUCUAAGUUUUAGGUACCCAAAACUUCUUGGGUCCUUGUAUGUUAGCAAUGGUUCCUUUUGGAACCCAAAUACAUUUCACACCAUAAUAUGCAUUUCUUUUUACUGGACAUCUAUUUUUCAUGUGUCCAUCUUGAUUACAAUGAUGACAUACAAUUUGAUUGUUAAUAGAAGUACUUUUCACAAAGUAGUUUUUAUAAUAUUUUUGUUUUAAGUUUGGCUUAUAUCCAAUACCUCCUUUAUCAAACACACAUUUUUGUGAAUUGAGCAUGUUUUCCAACAUCUUUUGUCCAUUUGUAAACUUUAGCACAAUUUCAUUUAGUUCAUUAUUUUUCUUCUUAAGCACUUCAUUCUCUUUCAUUAACUCAUCCACAUGUGAUUUUUCAUGUUCAUAAGUGCUUUGUUUACCUUUAAGAGCUAAAGUUUUAUCAUGCAACAUUUUAUUCUCUAAUUCUAAUUCUUUUAUCUUCUCAUUAUUGCAUUUUUCCAGGGCAUCUUUUUCAUUUGUAAGUUCUAGCAUUUUCAUUUUAAGGCAUGCAUUCUUUUUACCAAUUUUCAUCAACUCAUCAUGUAAUUCUUUAAAAGCAUCAUACAACUCAUCAUAGGUAGGAUCACUUACCUCAUUGAGAUCAUCAUCAUCUCCUAUUGCCAUAAGUGUUAGGUUUGAUGCUUCAUGCAAUUCAUCUUCAUCACUUGAAUCUUCAUCGCUAUCAUCCUAAGUAGCAACCAUGGCUUUCUUCUUGAAUUUGUUGAGAAGUGGGCAUUCCGAUCUUAUAUGGCCGGGCUUUUAGCAUUCAUAGCAUAUGAUUGCCUCUUUCUUCUCCUUUUGAUUCUUGAAGUUUCUAAAUCUUCUUCGCUCACCGGUUUUCUUGAAGAAUUUUCUAAACCUCAUUUCUAGCAUGGCCAACUCCUCAUCAUCCGGUUCACUUUGCUCAUCACUCUCAAAUUUUGAAGCUUUGAGAACAAUACUUUUCCCUUUUUUCGGCUGCUAAGUCUUCUUCAUAUGAAAUAAAAGAGCCAAUUAAAUCAUCAAGAGGUAAAGUAUUUAAAUUUUUGGCCUCUUAAAUAGCAGUCCUCUUAGGUCUCCAUUCCUUAGGAAGUGACCUAAUGAUUUUCUUUACUUUCUCACUAUUUGAGAAAACUUUUCCCAAAGCUCCUAGGGUGUUCACCAUGUCCGUAAAUCUAGUAUACAUAGAAUACACAUUUUUAUUUUGUUCCAUUUGGAAUAAUUCAUAUUGACGAGUGUAUCUACUAAUUUUAAUCUCUUUAACUUGAUUUGUCCCUUCAUAAACAACUUCAAGUUUAUUCCAUAUUUCUUGUGCACUUUCACAACUAGAUACUCUAUGGAAUUCUUUCUUAUCAAGAGCACAAAACAAGGCAUUCAUUGCCUUGGAGUUUAAGGACAUCUUUCUCUUUUCUAACUCACUCCAUUGACUUGAUGGUUUAGGAAUAUCAUCUCCUUCAUUUUUAAACAUAGGCAUGAAUGGACCAUCAUAAACAACUUCCCAAAUUUCAUAAUCUAAAACUUGUAAAUAGAUUCUCAUCCUAGUUUUCCAAUAUGCAUAGUCAUUACCAUCAAAGAACGGUGGUCCAGUUGUGGAUUGUCCUUCUCUAAAGGUUGAGUCAUUUAGGGUUGCCAUUGAUCUUUUACUCUAGAUGAUUACGUCCUAACAAGAGAAUAAGGCUCUAAUACCAAAUGAAAUUCUAGUAAUGCAACCCAAGAGGGGGGUGAAUUGGGAUUCUAAAAAUUAUACAAUUUUUAAAGCAAAACUCAAUGCAAAUAUAAAACGAAUUUAAAGCAAUAACAAAUAAAUUUAUCACAAUAUAAAAAGAUAAGGUAAGAGAGAUUCAAACAUGAGGAUUUUUACGUGGUUUGGCCAACCUCGCCCACGUCCACGCCUCCAAGCUUUCCGGGCUUGAGGAUUCCGCUAAGCAAGCCACCAAGGCUUCAAAUGCUUACACUUGACUCCUAAGAUGUCAAUAAACCUUUACAACAAGAGAUUAUCCCCAAUCUCUUAACCCAAGUGUAUCCCAACACUUACAAUCACUCAAUUUGAUUUUAAAGAAUGUUACAAAAUAAAUUUCUCUCACACUGUGUUUGAUUACAAAUGAAGAUUCAAAGUGUGAGUAAAUGAGAUGAAUACAAGAAUUUAAGGCUCAAUGAAUGUUGUAUGCUCAAGACUUUAUUCAAUAAUAAUUGUUGCAAUCGUUUUAGUUUGAAUUUGAUUGAGCUUAUUUAUUGUUGGAGCUGAAAACUAGCCGUUAUUGACUUUCUGCACACUGUCGGAUUGCCGUUAUCUAGAUGUCGGAUCGCUGUUUUAAAUAGUCAAUAUGACCGUUGGGCUGAAUUUUCAAAUUGUCGGAUUGUCGUUAUAUCUAGAUGUUGAUCGCCGUUAGUGUCCAGAGACUAAUCUUCAAUUCUGUGCAAUGUCGGUUAGCCGUUAUCAAGUUGUCGGAUUGCCGUUAGUGUCCGGAGGCUAAUCUUCAGUUCUGUUCGAUGUCGGCGAGCCAUUAUCAAGAUGUCGGAUCGUCAUUUUCUACAGUAACUACUACAAUGAACUAUUUUACAAAAUAAUAGUUUGACCCCAAAACUUCAUAAAAUUAUACUAUGACCCAACACUUUAUAAAACUUGUCAAAUAGAUCCAUUUACAAGAUUUGAAACAAUAUUUAUAUCAAAAUUCUCAAAGCUUUUUCAAUUGAAACCAUUAACAUGAGAAUAACCAAAAAUAUUUCCAUAAAAUAUAAAGUCUUUAUAAAGUGAGAGUGAUGAUUUAAAAGUAUAUGAAAAUUAUUUUGAGCUUUUAAAAGAUUAAUCAAUCUUAAUCAAGUUUGUUAUCAUCAAAAUCAAUAGUAAAAAAAUAUUUAUGGUCACAACUUUUAUACGUUGGCAAAAAAUAUUACAUUUCUUGUUGACAAGCCUCAAUGUUGUUAAUGUUCUUACAAUAUCAAAGCCUGAAGAACGUGAGAAUGAGAAACUCGAGUGUGGCAAAAGUGGAAGCAAGAUGUCUACGUGUGCAUAAGACACAUUUACAAUGCCGUGUCUAGUACUUUGUUUUCAUAAGUACCACAACAAAAUCCACUGCAAAAGAAAUAUAAGACUUAUUGGAGUCUAAGUACAUGAUGGAAGACACCACAAGUAAGAAAUUCUUGACUUCUAAUUUUUUUUAGUUUUAAAAAGAUUGACAAUAGACUUGUGAUGGAACAAUAUAAUGAGAUUUUUUGCAUUCUUGAUCAAUUCAACCAACACAACAUGAAAAGUAAUAAGUUUAUUAUUAUUUCUUCAAUUAUUGAUAAACUUCCCCCCUCUUGAAAAGACCAUGAAAAAAGUCUUAAAUAUAACAAAGAGGAAGUUAGCCUGGAAGGCUUGGCAAAGUCUUCAUAUUGAAUAGAAACUUAAACUUAAUAGUCUUGAGGAACAGACUGCUAUGUCCUCUGAAAUUAAUGUUGUGGAGGAGGAGAAGGAGCUUAAGCAGUCUAAUACCCGCAUUAAUAACAAAAGCAAAAAUUUGAUUCGAAAUAGAAUCAAACCAACAAAAUAAAAAAAUAAAAAAAGAAGUGUACAUGCCACCAAUGUGAAAAGCCUAGCCACUUUAAAAAAGACUGACAAAGCAAAAGUUUGAUUCCAAAUAGAAUCAAACCAAUAGAAUAAAAAAAGAAGUGUACAUGUGACCAAUGUGAAAAGCCUAGCCACUUUAAAAAUGACUGUCAGCUUCUUAAGAAAGAAAAGAAGUGCUCGAACACAAAUUUUGUGGACAAAAUUUAUGGCCAUAAUAUCUUAGAUUAAUAUUCUCGAACAUGAUAAUGCAUGGUGAAUAGAUUCCGGUGCAAUCAAGUAUGUGUACAAGAAUCGUAGGCUUUUCACAUCUUACAAAGCAAUGGAUGAUUGAAGUGUUCUUUAGAUGGGAAAUUCCUCCAUUGCAACAAUUAGAGGGAAUGUGCAACUAGAGUUCACUUGUGGAAAAAUGUUAACUCAUAUUGAUGUUUAUCAUGUAUCUAAAGGUAGGAAAAAUCUUGUAUCUAUAUUAGGGUGGUACCGUAUUUGAGUCAAAGCAAUUUUGCAUUGUUUAAGGGUGGUACCUUUAUUGGGAAAGGAUACAUGUAUUUGGGAAUGUUCAAGCUCAAUAUUAAUAAAAUUAAUGUUUCUUCUUCUUACAUGAUUGACUCAUUAUCUUUGUAGCAUAUUCAUUUAGGACAUGUGAAUAUUAAAAGAUUGCAUGUUAUAGCUAAUUUAGAAUUAAUUUUUAAACAUGGAAAUAAUGAUACUACAUCACUCUCUUCUCAACCCUCUUUCCUGAAACAAAUUUUAUUGUAUAACAUCUAUACUAUAUCCAUCAAAUAUCUAAUAUAUUGUUUACUAUAGGAAUAAUAUAUUGAUUCUCGAAAAGCUUGCAACAUUCAAAAGUAUUCAAGUUUGCUUUCAUCGAUGAAAAACACAUGCAAACAAAUAAGUGAUUCAUUGUAUCCUGGAGGUAUAUAUGUUUAGCCUAUAUGCAUCACUUAAUUGGUGGGACAAAUGAUAUCUUUAGGAAAGCGACAUUUGUAAUGUGCCUUGAAGUACACAUUAAUUUUCUACAAUUUACCUAUUACUAUGAUUUUAUUAUACUCAGGGACGUAGCUGUUGUGCAAAUUUUAAUGUACUCGCAAGCGCACGAAUCUAUCGUAGUAUAGACUAAUGGUGACGAGUGUCGAUCCCACGAGGAGGUGGAUUUUAAUUAUAUGUAGAAUUAAUUUUGUAAAUGGGUGGUUGGAAUUGUGGUGGAAGUGAUUUAAAUUAUCCUAAAAUUGGAAUUGAAAUGGCGAUAAUAAAUUCUAAAAUUGGAAUUGCAAUGACGAGAGUAAAUUGAAGAGAAAUCUAUUGAAAUAACGUACUUGGGUAUCUGGAUCCGUAUCAACAUGCAUCAUGGGCUAAAUAAUCUGUAUUAAUGCCAAUUAAAUCAUGAGGGGGGAAUCCACACCUCAUGAACCACGCUCUAAUCAAUAUGGUGCUAAGGGCUUAUCGUGCCAAAUAAUAAUAACCUUAUACUAGAGAGCCGGUGUAACCAAGGCGGUAUCUAGACAAGAUCAGUAUUAUUUGUCAACGAUAAGUCAAAUCAUCCACAAAAACUAGAGGGGAAAAGAAAAUAAAUUUACCAAAUAAAGCCCAUGACACAUGUUGAGACUUCACCUUCAACCCAAGCUUGAAAGCAAACUAGCCACUCAUAAUUGAACUAGGGGCAAAAUAGGAAUUUAUUAAAAUACAAAGAAAAUACAAGAUGGAGAGAGAAUUACAGAAAAUGGAUCCCAAAAAUGGAUUCAGAGAUAUCCAAUUAGGGGGAGAGGCCCCCUUUUUAUAGAUACAUGGAGUAAAUCAUGGCCAUCGGAUUAAAAACAGUUUAGACGCUCAGGAUUGUGCCACGUCAUCAGUCAACAGUCCACGGUUUGACCACGCGGAUGAACAGUAACACGGUUUGACCGGACUUUGAACAGUAACGCGGUUUGACCCGGAUGAACAGUAACGCGGUUUGAUUGAAAAUAAUCCUGUGUGAUGCAUGUACCGUACGCGAGAUUUUUCAUCCACUGAUAUGCUGCCACGUCACCAUCAACAGUACAUAAGAAUUUUAGCCCAACAGGAUCGUGACACCUCAUCAGUCAAUGCCACAUCAUCGGUCAAUGCCACGUCAUCGAUCCGUCUAUGUGAACAGUGUUGUGAACAGUAACGUAGUUAGUACCGUACACGUGAAUAGUACCGUACAUAUGAAUAGUGCCAUUUUUCCUUUUAUGCUCCUCUUAAGGUUUUCGACUGUCCUGAGUUCAAAAGUGAUGUCCGUUUUGCCGUCUGAUCUCUCCUUUAUUGUGAAAUGACUAUAAUGCCCCUAAAAUACAUAAAUUACUUAAUUAAAAUAAAACACACGUAAUUAAAUCACAAGAAUGUUAAAUACAUAAAAGUAACGGUUGUUAGUAAGACUUGAAAUGUAAAAUGACGGUUUUCUCCUUUAUAAAUAUGCAUUUUAUAACACUCAACACACCCCCCAACCAGCUUAUUGUUAGUCCCUAGCAAAUAAAGCGAAAACAAAAUUCAAAUUCAAAAUGAUUUUUUUUUUUUUUUUGAAACACUCGUAUUUAUUCAAUCAUAUUAAUGAUAGCAAUCAAAUAAAAGUAUAAGCAUUAUCUCCAGUCUAAAGCAACAUCACACCCACAUCAACCAUCCACAUGAAUCGGCCCAGUAGACUUUGUUAUAGCUACUUUCAAGAAUGACAUGUCAAACCCCAAAAUCUCACUGGAAGUAGUGACACUCUCACAAAGAAAUUAAAACCCAAUAAACAUAGUCACUCCAAUGAAUGGUAAUUGAGAAAGAAAAUAAUAAAGAAAUGAUAUCACAUGCUCUCACCAAGAUGAAAUAAAUAUGCCCUCAGCUUAGAAAUAAUACGAUCUCAAGUCAAAUAAAAUGUUAGUCAACCCACUUUAUUUAUCUUUUUUUUUUUUUUUUUUAUGCAUCACUACAUCUUUUUAGCCCAUAUAACUAGCUUCUACUUCAAACUAUAGUUCCCUAAAAUCAAGAAGGACUUUUAUUAGGACGUAACGUAGGCUAGGGAUAUGGCUAACAAAGAAAGGAAAUAAGGAAAACAAAGUGUAUGUUUGAGAAAAAUGCAGAAUUUUUUUUUUUUUUUUUUUUUUUUGGAAGUUGCAAGGUGGAUUUCACCUAUUAUUGUUAUUUUUAUUCUUUUGAAACAACAACUUUUGUUUUGUUUUUUUUUUCUUUUUGCUUUUAUUUGGCAUAACUUCACUGAACAACAUAAUUAUUUACAUUUUCUCAAACAUAAAUAGGUGAUGGAACUUAAAAGACAUUGGGUAAUACUCCAAAUCGGAGUGGGUCAAGAUGAUAAGUUGACAAAGAAAAGGUUUUUGUUCUUUUUUUUUUUUUUUUUUUUUAAAGGCUCAAAAGGGGUAACUAUGGAUAUUUAAUAAAAUGGAUGGCUAGAAAGGCUCAAACGGAUCAAAGAUGGCCUUUCCAUCGUCUUCUAGGGCUCUAAAUAAUUAUCCAUAUCUACUAGUUAGAUGGGCCUCCCAAUGUAGCAACACACAUUUUUUUCUUUUUCUUUUUUUCUUUUUUUUUAAUUUUACCAUUUUUUUUUAAAGGGUUAACUUAAAAGAAAUCUAGAGAUCGUGUAUAAAAUAAUAAACUGCUAAGCUGUAUAGAGAAUGGGCAAAAGGGUUACUCUCCAAGAAAAUGAUAGGCUCAACAACUCACUUGGCACUUAUUUAUGACAUGUUCAUUCCUUCAAGCAACUCAUAUUUGUCUCCGACAUCAACAUGUAAAGUAGCAAACAUAGCGUAACAUCACUUAAGUCCAAAGAUAAUACAAAUACUAAAAUUUGAAAUUAAUCAUGUCAUCCAAUGUUAAAACAAAUAACACAAUUUUUUUUUUUUUUUUAAACAACAUUCUACCCCCCAACCUAUUCUAAGCAUGAAAGGAAAAUAUGCAUGCAGAAAUGUGAAAAUGAUGCAUAAAAACUAAUUAGAAAAGUUACACGUAAAAUGAUAGAAAACGAAAAUGAUUUUUUUUUUUUUUAAAGAAGAUGCGUUUCUAGAGGAACUACACUCCAUAUUCAGCCAUCUUCGACUCAAAAGUUGGAAAAUGUAUAUUUAUAGAGGAGAAAUUAAAAAGAAGAAAAAUAAACAUAAACACAUAAUAAAGAAAAAGAAAAUGUCUGAAAUUUUUUUUUUCUUUUUUUUUUUUAGUUAUUUUUUUAUUAUUAUUUUUUUUAAACGAUGAAGAUGCGUUUCUAGAGUCACUACACUCCAUAUUCAGCCAUCUUCAACACAAAAAGUUAGCAACAGUUAGUUUCUACAACAAAAAAUUAGUAAAAACUUAACCAAAAUUUCACAAUUGUCGACUAUUCCCUCCCCCCAACCAGAACGAAACAUUGUCCUCAAUGUUUUAAAGGAAAGAAGUAGAGUUUAGAAGACAUCACCUGGGUGGUGCAACACAGAAGAAAAUAUUUACAGGCGGAGAGUUAAAUCUAAUUUGUACUUCUUACUGCGGCUACUGUUAUCAUCAUUAUUUGGUCGCUCCAACACAAAGGUCCAGGGGUCUGGCUCCGGUUUAUAAGCUUGUAACAUAUCAAGUAGCUCAUUAGCAGUGUGAGCACAAAUAAAGAGUUUUUUCACAUUAGAAGGAAUGAAAUAGUUUUUUAUUGCAUGGUUAAGAAAUGCGAUAAAGCCAUCAUAAAAGUUAUUGACAUUUAACAAACCGAUGGGUUUCUGGUGAAUGUGUAGAUGGGCCCAAGAUGCUAGUGUCAUAAGUGCCUCUAGUGUUGCAAGAUCUCCUGGAAGGAAAAUAAAAGCAUCAGCAUGAUUAAGCAUUUCAGUUAUUCUUUCUUGCAUACCUGAGACGACUAACUCUUCUCCAGUUGAUGAGUCAGACGAACUGCCCAAUGGUUUUAGGACUCUUGGGAUGAUGCCUAACACUUGACUUCCUCUGAUAAAAGCUGCUUCUGAGACCAUUUUUGAUAACCCCCGGUUACCUCCUCCAUACACCAAAUGUAAUUUUCUCGCUGCUAUGCUUCGACCAAGAUCUAUGGCUGCCUCCACGAACUCUUUAUGUUUGCCAUAGGUAAAUCCAGAAAGCACACAAAUGUUCUUGAAUUGUCUAUUGGGAGUAGCUGCCAUUGUGAUACUUCUCAAAAAUAAUUUGUGAGUGCUUGACAAAAAGUAAAUCACAUUUAAGAAUCUUGGUGACAGUGGAUCACAGCUGUGAAUGAGGUAACAUGUCAGUGUCAAAUAACGCGUAAAGCACGUGGCUCGCGAGUCAAAAAGGAAAUAGUAAAAAGGAAACAGCAAACAGUAACCAAAUUAUUAAAGACAAUAAUGCAAACAAUAAAAAAACAGUGAAAUGAAAUAAAAUAACAGUAAAGUAAAAGGAUAUUUACACGUAGUUGCGACUGUGGCUCACAUCUUCCUCUGGUUUUACGUCCAGAAACGGCUUGAACGCCCUCUAUGGGUCGAGGAUGGGCUUCCCAUCCAGUUUUCUUAUAAACUGGCAAACAGGGUCGUUUAUAGUCAGAUUCCCGAGACUAUAUUGUGCAUGCUCUUUCUGGAAUAAUGGUCAUAACCGGAGAAUCGCUCCUUGCACAUAUCCACUGGGAUGCGUUUCAAGAGACAAAAGGAUAUCAUCCAAUGACUCCUUAUUCAAGCCAUCCCUAAUGAAUUGAAUCUUAUCUUCCCUGUUAUCAGACAUCAUUCCUAAAGAACAUGGGUUUUUAUUGCAACUCAUUCUGGCACACUUAUGACAAGCAACAGAAAUUCUUCGAGCUAGUCAUUUUCUUGCAUAAUUUCCUUUACCACAACCAGGCAUGUAUGCAAUAAAUUUUGGAGGUAACUCACCUGCCGAUCGUACUUUAGCCUCGAUUAACCAACGGAUGUCAGCAGGUAUGUUAUUCCUCAUGAGCAAUCGGAUGCGUUCAGACCGGGCUUUAUAGAUUGUAAGGAGGGCAUUCUGAGGAAGUGAAGGGAAUCGCUUGUGAAGUUUCGCUAGAAUCUCGUUUCUGUCCAUACCUUCGCCUCAGAAUAUCAGUUAUUAUGGGAAACUGAAGUAACCGACUUGAUUGUCACGGAGUACCGUUAUCCGCCACUUCACCAGGGUAACAAACUAAAGCACACAAACAGAAAAACAAAUUAAAACACACAAAGAAAAUUAAAAUCGUCCUCUUAUUGAAUUUACCUCAAGCUCCAACUAGAUGUCGUAAACACUUCUCUCAAUAUCUCGGAGUUGGCUUUCUAGAUUCUCAACAUAGGCUACUAACUCUGGUGGUUGUAGAGCCCAAAUGCGUUGUGUUUUACAAAACUGAAUCUGCUUUUUGAGAUGAGUUUUGACACGUUGAAGUGGUUUAAGAAUGUUCAGGAGGAACGGUCUAAGUAAGGUACUCAUGAUUAAAAAUGAUAAAAGAAAACUUAAUAGUUAAACAAACACACUUAUGCAAAAAUAAUUUCAAUUAGCAGAAGAAUAAUAAAAAGAAAGAAAGAAAAAUCAAAUCAACGAAAAGAAAAAACAAAUCAAUUCAAAUCUGGUGGGUCACUCAAAUUUAUUUCGGUGUCUUCUCCAUGUGGUUGGUAUUCUAGAUAUGGCUUUAAUCUUUGACCAUUAACUUUAAACGUGACACCGUUCUUUGGGUCCUUAAUUUCAAUUGCCCCAUGUGGAAAAACAGUAUGUACAAUAAAUGGGCCAGACCAACGAGAGCGUAACUUACCUGGGAAUAGGUGCAAGCGAGAAUUGAAUAAAAGCACUUUCUGACCUGGAGUGAUCGAUUUUCUCAUAAUUUGCUUAUCAUGGAAGACUUUCAUUCGUUGCUUGUAAAUCUUGGCAUUUUCGUAUGCAUCAUUGCGAAUUUCUUCAAGUUCUGCCAGCUGUAAUCUUCUUUCUGAGCUGGCUUGCUGCAUGUCAAAAUUGAAUUUCUUGAUGGCCCAAUAUGCACGAUGCUCUAGUUCCACAGGUAGGUGGCAAGCUUUUCCAUACACUAGCCUAUAGGGUGACAUCCCAAUCGGGGUCUUGAAAGUCGUUCUAUAUGCCCAUAAUGCAUCAUCAAGUCUUAAUGACCAAUCUUUUCUGUCUGGCCUCACCGUUUUUUCUAAUAUGUGCUUGAUUUCUCGAUUGGAGAUCUCAACUUGGCCACUGGUUUGCGGAUGAUAUGGGGUCGCCACUUUGUGUGUGAUUGAAUACUUUGUCAAAAGUGCUUUAAAUGCUUUGUUACAAAAGUGGGCACCACCAUCACUGAUUAUCGCUCGAGGGAAUCCAAAGCGUGAAACAAUGUUGCUUUUCAAAAAUCCUAUCACCACUUUGUGAUCAUUGGUCCUACAUGGAAUUGCUUCUACCCAUUUCGAUACAUAGUCAACAGCAACCAAUAUGUAUUGAUGGCCAAAAGAAGGGGGAAAGGGUCCCAUGAAGUCGAUACCCCAUACGUCAAAAAUCUCAACCACUAAAAUUGGAUUUAAUGGCAUCAUGUUCCUUCGUGUAAUGCUCCCCAUUCUUUGACACCUAUCACAUGAAGAACAAAAAGUGUAAGCAUCUCGAAAUAUAGUUGGCCAAUAGAAACCACAUUGUAAAACUUUAGUCGCUGUUUUCUUAGAACUAAAAUGGCCUCCACAAGCUUGUUCAUGGCAGAAUGAAAGGAUAUUCUGAAUUUCACUUUCUGGGACACAUCGUCUAACAAUUUGGUCUGCACAAUACUUGAACAAAUACGGGUCAUCCCAAAAGAAAUUCUUUAUUUCUGCAAAGAAUUUAGCCUUGUCUUGCUUGGUCCAAUGCUCUGGAAAUUUACCUGUAACAAGAUAAUUAACUAUAUCAGCAUACCAAGGUAAUACUUCCACAUUCAUCAAUUGUUCAUCUGGGAAUGACUCAUUUAAUGGUAAUGGCUCUGUAAUUGUGUCAAAAUGGAGACGAGAGAGAUGAUCCGCCACAACAUUUUCUGUGCCUUUUUUAUCUUUGAAUUCCAAGUCAAAUUCCUGCAAAAGUAACACCCAACGAAUUAGUCUAGCUUUUGCAUCUUUCUUUGUGAGAAGAUAUUUAAGAGCAGCAUGAUCUGUAAAUAUAAUUAUUUUACAACCAAUGAGAUAAGAUCGAAAUUUUUCCAAUGCAAACACUACUGCUAGCAUUUCUUUUUCAGUAGUUGAAUAGUUCAACUGUGCAUCAUUCAAUGUCAUACUAGCAUAGUAAAUAACAUGAGGAAUUCGAUCAACUCUUUGUCCUAAAACUGCUCCUACUGCAUAAUCAGAUGCAUCACACAUGAGCUCAAAUGGUAAGUUCCAGUUUGGGGCCUGAAUGAUGGGUGAUGAUGUCAACAACUGCUUUAAUUUUUCAAAAGCCAUAAGACAUGAAUCAUUAAAGAUAAAAGGUACAUCCUUAGCAAGUAAAUUGCAUAAGAGUCUAGAAACUUUGCUAAAAUCUUUAAUGAAACGUCUAUAGAAACCAGCAUGUCCAAGGAAGGAUCUUACUUCUCUGACUGUUUUAGGUGGAGGAAGAUUAGAAAUGAGAUCCACCUUGGCUUUGUCAACCUCAAUACCUUUGCUCGAAAUGAUGUGACCGAGAACAAUACCUUGUUUUACCAUAAAAUGACACUUCUCCCAAUUCAAGACUAAGUUCUUCUCGAUACAUCUCUGCAGAACUAGCGUUAGAUGAUGUAAACAUUGAUCAAACGAAUCACCAAAGACAGAAAAAUCAUCCAUAAAGACUUCAAGGAAUCGUUCAACCAUAUCAGAAAAAAUGCUCAACAUACAUCGUUGAAAUGUAGCAGGUGCAUUACAUAAUCCAAAUGGCAUUCUCCUAUAUGCAAAUGUGCCAAAAGGGCAAGUGAAAGUAGUUUUCUCUUGAUCUUUUGGUGCUAUGGGGAUCUGAUUAUAUCCUGAGUAGCCAUCUAGAAAGCAAUAAAAUUCAUGGCCUGCUAAUCUAUCAAGCAUUUGAUCAAUAAAUGGUAAAGGAAAAUGGUCUUUACGUGUGACAGAAUUCAACUUUCUAUAAUCAAUGCAUACACGUCAUCCUGUAGUUACUCUAGUUGGUAUCAAUUCAUUAUCAGCAUUGGUAACUACUGUGACUCCUGACUUUUUGGGGACAACUUGUACAGGACUGACCCAUGAACUAUCAGAAAUUGGGUAAAUGAUACCUGCGUCUAAUAGCUUAAGGACUUCUGUUCUAACAACUUCUUUCAUAUUAGGAUUUAACCGACGUUGCAUUUCCCUAGUAGAUUUAGCAUUUUCAUCAAGGUGAAUGUAAUGCAUGCAUUCUGCAGGGUUUAUACCUUUUAUGUCUGCUAUGGUCCAUCCUAAUGCUCCUUUGUGCUCUUUUAAAACAUCCAACAACUUACCUUUUUGUUCGUCGUUUAGGGAUGAUGAGAUGAUUACCGGUAGAGUGCUUUCUUCUCCCAAAAAUGCAUAUUCCAAUGUGUUGGGUAAUGGUUUGAGCUCGAGUUUCGGUGGUGAUUCUGAUGAUGGGAUGAGUUUCUUCUCUGAUGGUGCUAGUUGUUCAACUCUUGACUUCCAUUUAUUAGUGUCCAUGGAUGGUGUUGAGUCAAGCAGGGCGUUGACCUCAUCAACUGAUCUGUCAAUAUCAAAAUCAAAACCAAAGUGAGUUAAACAUGUUUUUAAAGGAUCAUCACUAAGGUUUGAAAGAAAAGUAUUAUCAACUAUUGUUUCUAUUAAAUCCACAUCAACAAUUCCAUCAUCUGCACUGUGAGGUUGUUUGGCAAUGUUGAAAAUGUUUAGCUCCAUAGUCAUGUUGCCAAAGGACAACUGCAUAUUUCCAGUCCUGCAUUGAAUAUGAGCAUCUGCAGUUGCCAAGAAAGGUCGGCCUAGAAUAAUGGGGAUGUGCUUCCUUGAGUCCUGUAUUGGUUGAGUGUCAAUUACAAUGAAAUCAACAGGAAAAUAAAACUUGUCUACCUGGAUAAGCACGUCCUCCACAAUACCACGAGGUAUUUUCGUGGACCGAUCUGCAAGCUGUAACACCACUGGAGUUGGGUGUAAUUCUCCCAGUCCAAGUUUCACAAACACAGAGUAAGGCAACAAAUUUACACUAGCUCCUAAAUCCAACAAAGCAUUCUCAAUUGUGUGGUUCCCUAUACUACAUGAGAUAGUGGGGGAGCCUGGGUCUUUGCAUUUUAGAGGAAUUUUAUGUUGGAGUAUAGAACUAACGUUUUCUGUUAAAAAUGCCUUCUUUUGAACAUGCAUGUUUCUCUUUUUAGUACACAAAUCUUUAAGAAACUUGGCAUAAGAUGGAACUUGUUUAAUAGCAUCAAGCAAAGGGAUAUUAACACUUACCUGUUUGAAGAUUUCGAGAAUCUCACCUGUGGAUUUUCCCUUCUUUCCUUUCGCUAACCUCUGAGGAAAUGGAGCUUUCGGAACAUAUUCUCGUGGGUUGGUUUCUUCUUUUUCCUCCGGUGGUGAGUCCUCAACAUUCACAGGUACAAUUUGAUUUUCUUUUGUCACCGGCAUCUCCACUUUGUUGUCGACUUCCUUUCCUUUUCGCAAGGUCAUGACUGCUUUGACCUCUCCAUGCUGUUGUGGUGAACUGGUACUUGCUUCAUGUACUCCUUUAGGAUUAGGCACUGGUUGACUUGGAAAUUUACCUUUCUCAACAGUAAUUGCCAAGGUCUGAACUGAAGAAGCGAGCUGUCCCACCAUCUUCUCGAGGCUUGAAACUGAUUGGGCUUGUGAAUUGAAGCCUGCUCUCAACUCAUUUCGUAGUCCAUCAAUGGUGCGAUUCUGUUGCUCAAUCGUGGAAUGAGUAAGAUUCUUGAGAUUCUGGAAUGAAUCCUCCCAUGGUCUGGGUUGAGAAUAGUUCUGGUUUUGAUUGUAUGGUCUAAAUGGUGGCUGAGAGGCUUGAGGAUUUUGUGGAAUUGGUGGAGCUGGAGCUGCUGGUCCAUUCUGUUGGAAUCCUUGAGACCAUGAAAAAUUGGGGUGGUCUCUCCAUCCAGGGUUAUAUGUGUUGGAGUAUGGGUUGUAAUUCGAUGGUUUUCUGAUUACACCUAUGGCAUUGGCUUGAUCGGAGUAUGAGUCAUGGUCAUGUGGUUCUGUUGAUUUAGCAGUCGACAACGAUGCUAUUUGUCGAGCAAGACCUUCAACCAUCUCCUUGACUUCUUUGAUUCCCGAAGUUGACUCGCCAAUUUGAACCUCAUUUACUCCCUUAAUUCUUCUAGUAUUCCUGAUUGAUCGACUCCGUUGUUGGGAAUUAUCCGCUUGUCGCUGGAAGAAUUCCCAAAUCUCUGUUGCGCUUUUUGACAUUAGCUCUCCUCCACUUGUUGCCAUUAGCCAUUCUUGCACAUUUGGCAAUAAUCCCUCCAAAAAGUAUUGGCAUUGGUGCCAUUUCUCAUACCCAUGAUGUGGACACUUCAAGAGUAGCCCAUUGAAUCGCUCCCAAGUUUCGAAAAACUGCUCGUCCUCUCUUUGUGUAAACUCUGAAAUUUCCCUAUGAAUAGAAUUGGUUUUAUGCACUGGGAAAUAUUUAUUUAGAAACUUUGUAACCGUUUGUUCCCAUGAUGCAAUGCUAUUAGCAGGCAAAGUAUUUAACCAUGAACGAGCUCUAUCCUUUAAAGAAAAUGGGAAUAAUCUAAGUUUAACAUCAUCGUCUGAAAAAUUUUCAUAUUUAAAAGUUUGACAAAUGGCAUGAAAAUCAUUCAGAUGAUUAUAUGGGUCCUCAUUUUCUAAGCCAUAGAAUGUGGGGAGACAAUUUAGCACACUAGGUUUUAGUUCAAAACUCCUAGCAGCUACAUUUGGGUAUCUUAUGCAUGAUGUGCUCAAAUUAGCUAAGGGACUAAAAUAGUCUUUAAAUGGCCUCUCCUGUGGUGCUUUUAAAUCCAUUUCAAAUUUAACGUGCUUGUGUGUGCGAAGUGUUUUUUCUAAUUCAAGGUCUAUAGGUUCAAGAUUAGGUAAUAAAGACCUACGACCAUGCAUACAAAAUAAAUAAAAUAAAAAUAAAGAUGGAAAAACAAAUAAAAAUAAAGAAGAGACAGAAAUUACAAUACUAACCUUAUUGCGCUAUUACAACCUUACUAUAAAAAUACACAAAAAUAAAUACGUGAAAUAAAUUAACUAAAAAUUAAAUUAAUAAAAUAAACAAAAAUUACAAAGAAAAAAAUAAAUUGAAAAUUAAAUUACAGAAUUUUAAAGAAGAGAAAAAGAAAAGAAAUACUAACCUUUAAAUGUAGAUUUACUUUUUUUUUUCUUUUUUUUCUUUUUAAUAAAAAAAAAUACAAGAAAACAAAUAAAAGAAAUUAUUCACAAAAAUUAAUUCUAUGAAUUAAAAUUACUUACCUCCCCGGCAACGGCGCCAAAAACUUGUUGUGCAAAUUUUAAUGUACUCGCAAGCGCACGAAUCUAUCGUAGUAUAGACUAAUGGUGACGAGUGUCGAUCCCACGAGGAGGUGGAUUUUAAUUAUAUGUAGAAUUAAUUUUGUAAAUGGGUGGUUGGAAUUGUGGUGGAAGUGAUUUAAAUUAUCCUAAAAUUGGAAUUGAAAUGGCGAUAAUAAAUUCUAAAAUUGGAAUUGCAAUGACGAGAGUAAAUUGAAGAGAAAUCUAUUGAAAUAACGUACUUGGGUAUCUGGAUCCGUAUCAACAUGCAUCAUGGGCUAAAUAAUCCGUAUUAAUGCCAAUUAAAUCAUGAGGGGGGAAUCCACACCUCAUGAACCACGCUCUAAUCAAUAUGGUGCUAAGGGCUUAUCGUGCCAAAUAAUAAUAACCUUAUACUAGAGAGCCGGUGUAACCAAGGCGGUAUCUAGACAAGAUCAGUAUUAUUUGUCGACGAUAAGUCAAAUCAUCCACAAAAACUAGAGGGGAAAAGAAAAUAAAUUUACCAAAUAAAGCCCAUGACACAUGUUGAGACUUCACCUUCAACCCAAGCUUGAAAGAAAACUAGCCACUCAUAAUUGAACUAGGGGCAAAAUAGGAAUUUAUUAAAAUACAAAGAAAAUACAAGAUGGAGAGAGAAUUACAGAAAAUGGAUCCCAAAAAUGGAUUCAGAGAUAUCCAAUUAGGGGGGAGAGGCCCCCUUUUUAUAGAUACAUGGAGUAAAUCAUGGCCAUCGGAUUAAAAACAGUUUAGACGCUCAGGAUUGUGCCGCGUCAUCAGUCAACAGUCCACGGUUUGACCACGCGGAUGAACAGUAACACGGUUUGACCCGACUUUGAACAGUAACGCGGUUUGACCCGGAUGAACAGUAACGCGGUUUGAUUGAAAAUAAUCCUGUGUGAUGCAUGUACCGUACGCGAUAUUUUUCAUCCACUGAUAUGCUGCCACGUCACCAUCAACAGUACAUAAGAAUUUUAGCCCAACAGGAUCGUGACACCUCAUCAGUCAAUGCCACAUCAUCGGUCAAUGCCACGUCAUCGAUCCGUCUAUGUGAACAGUGUUGUGAACAGUAACGUAGUUAGUACCGUACACGUGAAUAGUACCGUACAUAUGAAUAGUGCCAUUUUUCCUUUUAUGCUCCUCUUAAGGUUUUCGACUGUCCUGAGUUCAAAAGUAAUGUCCGUUUUGCCGUCUGAUCUCUCUUUUAUUGUGAAAUGACUAUAAUGCCCCUAAAAUACAUAAAUUACUUAAUUAAAAUAAAACACACGUAAUUAAAUCACAAGAAUGUUAAAUACAUAAAAGUAACGGUUGUUAGUAAGACUUGAAAUGUAAAAUGACGGUUUUCUCCUUUAUAAAUAUGCAUUUUCUAACACUCAACAGUAGCCAGGAUUUUGAUCGAGUCGGGGCAUAUUUGAAAUCAAAUAUGACUCAAAUGCGCGAUUGCUCAUAUGAUAAGUUCCUAUUUGAGAAACUGUAUUGUGGCCCCCAUAAACUCCAAAUGGGAACUUGCGACAUGUAUAAUUGUACUCCUUAUAGAGUGCGUCUGCAAGCAUCUAAUUGAAACCACAUUUAAAGUAUAAUACAUUUUUAAAAAUUUAGAUAGCAAUAUAUAACAUUACAACUAUAAUAUUCAUUGAUAAUAAAUUUAUUUAUUACAAUGGUUCUCCGUGAAAACUUCUCAAUGAGAUUUGAUGAGUUGAAAAUAAUGCAUUAUCAAUAUAAGCAAAAAUAUAUUUUUCAAUAUACAAGACUAGGCUAUUACUUAAUUUGCUCUUAAAAUCUUUUAAUAAUAACAAAAAUAUUCAUAUAUUGCAACACAAAGAAUAAAUAUGAAAUGCAUGAUAAAAUUAUAAAUUUUAAAAUUAGACAAAAGAUUAAUUAGAAAAUUAAAAAUUAAAAUUAGGUAGACUUACAACUUAUGGUUCAGUAUUGAAAGACUAAAUAAUUGAUUUUACUUGAAUAAAAAAUAAAAAGAUUAAAUACCAGUCCAUUAACCAUUAUACUAAUAUUUUGUUAUGAUUGUUUUUUAUUUUAAUAAUUGUUCUCGUGUAUUUAAUCAAGUUUCAUGAAAUGUUAAUAACUAAUUAAAUUAUUUAUAAUUAAAAAUUUAAACUGGGGAUAGUAUGAAAUAUUUUAAAAUUAUUGGAGUCGAUUUCAAAUUUUAAAAUUCAGUUGGGGCAUUUUUCAUAAAUAACAAAUAAAAUACAAAUUUUUAGUAUAAUUAUAAAAAAAAAUUUAAAAGCUAGCUGGGGCCUGUGCCCCACCUCGUCCCAUGCUGGCUCCGUCCCUGAUUAUACUUACAGAAUUGUAAACACAUUAAUUAAUUAUUAUAAAGUUUCACUUCCACCUUUAUUACUGCAAUUCUCUACAUUUGUCUUUCCCCACAAAUAUAUAUCCCAGCACUUAGUAGAUAUAUUAUUUUAUUAUAAAUAUCAAUAGAUUUUUAAUUGUAUAAUACAUACUUAUGAAAUUGUAUAGAGUAAUUUCGUUCAAUUAUAUUAAUCCGUUAUGAAUUUCAUCACAAAUUUAUAGGUGGCCAAUACCGUGCAAGUGAAAUUUCAGAUAAAAUCAUCUCCUAGCAAUUUUUUUUUUAUAUUUUUCAAUUUUGCUUUAACGUAUGGAUCCAUUUCUUGUCUAUAUGGCAGACAACUUUUAUUAUCAGGUAGGCAAAAUCAAAAGCCUUUAUGUCGUUAAUUUUAUUAUGCCAUGACAGACUCCAAGAUCUAAUUUAGAGAGCGACUCAAAUAAUGGUAAUUAGUAAUUCAUUAUAUCUGCGGCUAGCUAGAUACUUUGUUUGUGAAAAAAAAAAAAAAGAAUAAAAUCAGUUUCAUAAUGAUUUUAUUUACAAUAAAUACCAUACUAUGGUCCAUGACUUACCUCAUAUUACUAAGAAAAUAUGUGAAAGAUAAUUAAGGAUUAAAGCUUUCCACAAAGAUUUAUAAAAUUGCUUUUGAUAAAACUGUUCUGAUGAAAUGAAAUUAUAUGCAAUUACUAAGAAUUUAGUUAGCCUCUCAAUUAUCAGAACCCAGUAGUGCAUUUGAAAGGUGAGCAUCAGCAAAUGACUUGUCAAUUAAAAUGCUGAAAUUCACCCUAUAUGCAUUUGUGCUACUAGAUACGUCAUACGUUACCAUAAAUAGUGAUCAGCAUUUGUAAUAUCAAAUUUUUUGUUUUCAUGGUCUUACAAACAACAGGAAUAAAGAGCCAUGACACAAAAACUGGAAAAGAUAUAAUUAUUCUGCUUAUUGGCAGCUUGCGGUUCAUAAUUAAGACGUUCAGCAAGUUCAUGGGAGCCAUGUUUAUGAGCAUCCUCACGUGGAAGUUCUGUGACUGGAACAUGAUGCUUGCAAAUCUUUCCAAAUAUUCAGACAAACUAGAAAAGCCUAAUGUGCGAACCUCUUCGAAAGCUAUAUGUGGAAUUUGAUUCUUCCAUAUCUUUACAUAUUUCAGCUGGCAUGGAGCACCAUGCUUGCAAAUCCUUCUAUUUGAACAAUUACAUAGUUUGCUUUUGCUUCUUAGCUCAAACAACGCCGGAUCUUUGAUACCUGAGCAUCCUGGAUGGGCUGUGUUUGCAUGAAGCAACUGUUGGGGAAAAAUUAGGUUUUUAAAUUUUUUAUAAAACCUUAUGAAGAUCGCUCUCAUAUAAUACAUAAGAAUUUGUAUUCUAGAAAUCGUACCUUGAAAAUCUGAGUUGGCUUUUUCCGGUGAAGUGAUUUAGGCUCCUAGAUCACGAUCCGCCACCACCACUCCUGUUAGAUCACGAUCCGUCACCACCACGCUUGUUAGAUCACGAACUGUCACCAAUGAUCUUCCAGGUUAUGACUCAGGUUCGAUCUGCACUUGACGUGUGGGCGCCGUUAUCACUACCAAAGCAACUAGCACGAGAAAAUUUUUCUCUCAACAAUGGAGAGAAAAAUCUUUUUCUCUGAUUUGUAUAAAGUGGCUUCUUCUUUUCCUUUUUGGGAAAAUAAGCCUUAUAUAUCUCCCUUUAGUGAAAACCCUAGGCUCCAAGGAUUCCCCAAAAUAAAACUCACGUUACUUUUCAUUUAAUAGGAGACCCACCAUGUAAAAUAACAUAAGGCCCCUUACACAUAAGCUUAUUAAAUGGAGCCUCCCACUAAAUGAUAUAUUUAGGCUUUUGACCCAAAUAGCUAGUUAUCUUGCUUAUUAGUCCAGCAGUGGUGCAAUCAAUUAAAUGAGCUAACCCGGGGAUCAUUUGGGAACAUACAAUAGUGGCUACAAUAAUUAGGCCUGUAAUUAAACUAGCCUAAUUAUUUAAUUCCAAAUCUACUCCACUAAAAGAUUGGAACUGACUUCCAUAAUUGUAUGCUCGAAUAAUAAUUCGUCCCAAGCCACAUUGAUUUCUUUACUGCACAAUCCUUUGUACCACAUCGUUAAUUAAAUUGAUAUCUCAACUGUCCAAUCAAUUUAAUAACAUCUUAUUCCUUGAUCCUUACUGGUUUUCUCUAAUGAUCAUUUUCAACAUACUAAAUAUGUUGACACACUCUGGCCAGAGAAUUCUAUGAUCAAGUACCGAAAACCUAUCAAGAGAUGUGUUGUACAAAUUCUAUAUUGUUAAUCCAUAACUCCAAUACUCAUAAUUGCUCCCACCAAGAUACCGGGUAAUCUUGACCAUAAGGAUGUGUCGUGCCCAUUGGUAACUCAAAUGAAAUAACAAUUACAAUCAUGAAAUCAUAAUUAACUCAAGAUUAAGAUUACAGUAAAAUCAACGCCUAUGAGAUUUAAUAAGUCUGACAGUUAUUACAAAGUUAAUUAAAUCUCAUAUGUGAUCCUAUUCAAUGUAGUCGCACUACAUCAAUAAAUUCAUACAUGAUUAAGACAAAUCAUUCAAUGAAUUUAUUACAGUCUAUACCUAAAUAAAGUGUCCAACUUUAUUUAUCAACUGCGAACUAAAUUUAUUUAAUCAUAAGAUAACUUGUAUUUAUGUCUUAUGUGAAUCCACAUGGUGAUCACAUAAAUACAUAUAAUAUGAUUAAAUGGACUUUAAUACAAAUAUUAAUGCAAUUAAGAUAUUUGAAUAAAAUACCUCAUUUAUUUUAUUAAUCAGAAAAAUUGUUUAUUACAAUUAAAUAAACACAUAUGCUUUUAAAGAGCAUAUUUUCCCAACAAUCUCCCACUAGCUCUCAAAGCAUAUUUGGCAUCUCACGCAUGCCCAUGGAUUCUAAGUGCAAGUUAAAAGGUUUCCCAGGUAUGGCCUUAGUAAAAGGAUCUGCCAAGUUUUGCUGUGACGCAAUCUGAGUAACCUCCUCAUCACCUCUCUGCACUAUAUCCCUUAUAAGAUGAUACUUUCUCUCAAUAUGUUUUUGUUUCUUGUGGUUCCUUGGUUCCUUAGAUUGAGCUACCGCACCACUAUUAUCGCAAAAUAGUUUAAGGGGUGCAGUUACAGCAGGUACCACCUCAAGAUCUUGUAGGAACUUGCGGAGCCAUACAGCUUCUUUUGCAGCUUCGGAUGCAGCCACAUAUUCAGCUUCAGUUGUGGAGUCUGCGAUACAAGAUUGUUUCACACUCCUCCAACUAAUAGCUCCACUUCCCAAUGUAAACACAUAGCCGGAAGUUGAUUUUCUGGAAUCCUUAUCUGACAUAAAGUCAGAAUCAGUAUAACCCACUGGAAUGAGUUCAUCACCAGAAUACACAAGCAUAUAAUUUUUAGUUCUUUUCAGAUACUUCAUUAUAUGCUUGACCGCAGUCCAGUGUUCAGGUCCAGGAUUAGAUUGAUAUCUACUAACCAUCCCUACCGCAAAACAGAUGUCUGGCCUAGUGCAAAGCAUGGCAUACAUGAGACUUCCCACAGCUUCUGCAUAGGGAACUCGUCUCAUUCUCUCUAUCUCUUCAGAUGUUUUAGGUGAUUGAUCCUUAGAGAAUGUAAUUCCAUGUCUGAAUGGUAAUAAACCAGUCUUGGAAUUUUCCAUGCUAAAUCUAGCCAAUAUCUUAUCGAUAUAGACCGCUUGAGACAAGGCUAAAGUUUUAUUCUUCCGGUCUCGUAGUAACUUGAUACCAAGAAUAUAACUUGCCUCUCCUAGGUCUUUCAUAUCAAAUUGUUUUGCUAACCAACUCUUUAUUGUAGUCAAUACUCCUAUAUCGUUUCCAAUUAGGAGAAUAUCGUCUACAUAAAGAAUUAGGAAGGCUACAGAUUUUUCUUGAAUUUUCUUGUACACACAUGGUUCAUCAAUGUUCUGAAUGAAUCCAAACGAUUUAAUCGCUUGAUCAAAUCUGAUGUUCCAUGACCGGGAUGCUUGCUUCAAUCCAUAAAUGGAUUUCUGCAACUUACAUACCAUGUGUUCUUGGCCUUUUUGUAUAAAUCCAUCUGGUUGCUGCAUGUAGAUGUUUUCUUCAAGAUGCCCGUUAAGAAAGGCAGUCUUGACAUCCAUUUGCCAAAUUUCAUAAUCUAGCAUUGCAGCAAUUGAGAGCAGAAUCCUGAUGGAUUUAAGCAUAGCAACCGGAGAAAAAGUUUCCUCAUAAUCGAUUCCCUCUUUCUGAGUAAACCCUUUGGCUACUAAUCUUGCUUUAAAUGUUUCCACCCUUCCGUCUACUCCUCUUUUUCUCUUGUAGAUCCACUUGCAUCCUAUAGGUUUUACCCCAUUUGGUGCCUCUACAAGUUCCCAGACUUUAUUGGAAUACAUAGAUUCCAUUUCUUGAUUCAUGGCCUUUUUCCAAAAUUCAACAUCUCUAUCUAUUAGAGCUUCGUUGUAACUAGUGGGAUCUUGUACAUGUUCAUCUGAGAUAGCCGUAUAGGUUUCUCCCAAAAGCAUGUAUCUCGCAGGUAACCUAGUUACCCUCCCACUACGACGAGGUUCUAAAAGUGAUGGUUGUUCAGGGUUAAUCCUGUGUUGAUCAUCUGGUUGUUGCUGUUCUUUCUGUUCUGUAACAGGCAUUGAAAGCUGAGCAUCAACCUGAUCACCUGACAGUUCUUCAAGUAUUACCUUACUCUUAGGUUUGAAGUUAUUCAUAUAGUCUUCCUCAAGGGAAGUUAAAUGUGUGCUCACGAUCACUUUCCUAUCUUGAGGACUAUAAAAUAAACCUCCCCUUGUUCCUUUGGGAUACCCCACAAACAUACAAACCUCAGAACGUGAAUCCAUUUUGUCUGCCUUUGGUUUCAGCACAUGUGCUGAUGAUCCCCAAAUACGGACAUGUCGUAAACUUGGUUUGCGACCUGACCAUAAUUCUAUUGGGGUUUUAGGCACUGACUUAGAUGGAACUAAGUUCAAAAGGUAAACUGCAGUUUCCAGUGCUAGUCCCCAAAAAGAGAUUGGUAAUGACGAAUAACUAAGCAUAGAUCUCACCAUAUCCAAAAGAGUUCUAUUUCUUCUUUCAGCUACCCCAUUUUGUUGUGGUGUUCCCGGGGCAGUCAAUUGAGAUAUAAUCCCAUUUUCAACCAGAUACUCUUUGAAAUCUCCUGAGAGAAAUUCACCACCUCGAUCAGAUCGAAGUUUCUUUAUGUUCUUAUCUAAUUGCUUUUCUGUCUCAGCCCUAUACUCUUUGAAUUUCUCAAGAGCUUCAGACUUAUGACGCAUUAGAUAAACAUAACCGUAUCUUGAGUAAUCAUUAGUAAAAGUGAUGAAAUACUCAUAACCUCCUCGAGCUUGUACAUUGAUUGGUCCACAUACAUCUGUAUGUACCAAUUCAAGUGGUACUGUUGCACGUACUCCUUUGGCCGAGAAUGGCCUUUUGGUCAUUUUCCCUUCUAAACAGGAUUCACAGAGUGGCAAUGAUUCAUUUUCUAAUGGACCCAAGAGCCCAUCUUUGAUCAUUCUCUGUAUCCUAUUUUGGUUUAUAUGACCCAAGCGUAAAUGCCAGAGGUAACAUUGGUUGGAAGAAAUAUUUCUUUUCUUAGAUAAAUGUGCAUGCUCAUCAUUAUUUAUCACUGUGUCAUGCAUAUAAUGGAUCAUUGGACUUAAAUGAUAUAAAUUAUCUUCCAUUUUACCAGAACAAAUAAGUCUCUUAUUAUGAAAAAUAGAAACAGAGGAUCCAAAAUUUACAGUGUACCCUUGCUUUGACAAACAAGCUACUGAAAUUAAAUUCCUCUUAAUGUCUGGAACAUAAAGACAAUUAUUCAAAACUAAAGUCUCAUUAUUAAAAGAUAAUAAAACAGAUCCAGUCUUUACUGCUGACACGAACUGUCAUGUCCCUAACUGCAGCUUGACGCUUCCUUCACUUAUUUUCUUGGUUUCCUGAAACCAAUAAAGUGAAUUACAAAUAUGAUUAGUUGCUCCUGAAUCCAACACCCAAGUGUCAAUAGGAUUCUGAACUAAACAGGCCUCAAUUACAAAAAGAUUUCCCAUACCUGAUUUCACAAUCUUAGGGCAAUCCUUUUUCCAGUGACCUUUCUGUCCACACUUAAAGCAUUUGCCUUUCGGCUUGCCAUCUUGCUUGGUAGACGGUCUCUUUUUCCCAGCUUUCUUCUUACCUUUGCCUUUCGGUUUAGGCCCAGAAGAUGAACUUUUUUCAGUAAUAUUUAUGAUUCCCAGAGAUUUCUCAGCACGAUAGAUCUCUUCAGCAGAAUGGAGUUCGUUCAUCAAUUCAGUUAAGGUCAUGUUUCUUUUGUUCAUGUUAUAAUUGACCUUAAACUCCUUGAAUGUUUCUGGCAGAGAUUCUAGCACCAUGUCAAUCUUUGAGUUAUCAUCGAUUUGUGCUCCCUGAAUCUCAGCCUCAUUCAAAUAGUCCAUCAUUUUGAGGACAUGAUCACGAACUCUUGUGCCCUUCCCCAUUUUACUGUUCAUAAUUCCUUUCAGCGCUGCUUGUCUCGCAGAGCGAGUACUCUGCCCGAACAUCUGUUGGAGACUAUCCAUUAUUUCAGUGGCAGUCUCCAAGUUCUGAUGUUUGGUCUGCAGAAUAUUAGAAAUCGAGGCUAAAAUGUAACACUUUGCCAUUUCAUUGGCCUUUUGCCAUUUCUCAUAAAGCCUCCUCUGAUUUCUAUGAGCAUCAUCCGCUGGAACUGGGGGGCAUGGCUGGGUUAAGACAUAUUUAUAAUUUUCAGCAGUCAGGACAAUGAAUAGAUUUCUUUUCCAAUCUAUAUAGUUCUCUCCAGUGAGUUUGUUUUGACUCAGAAUAAUAGUAAGUGGGCUCAGGGAAGACAUUUUCUGAAAAAUAAAACAUCCAUGCAUAAAUAAUUUGAAAUAAUAUUCACAAUAAAUGACAAAAAUGCAUAAAACCAUAAAUGCAUUUUAAUUUAUUGUAACGAUAAUCUAGUUCCGUUUUGACAAGCUAUCCGGUGGGGAAGUCAUGUCUAUACUUACUAGACCCAAUUACCCAUUGGAUUAUUUACUUUCAUGUAGAGACAUGAUAAAUAAUUAUCGUUAUCCUUUUGGGCCUAAAUUUGUUAACAGAGCUUCGUUGGGAAGAUUAAUAACAAAUUUUAGUUGAGUGUAUAACCAUUGUUUCAAUCUAGAUAUUUUUCAUUUCAAUAGUCACCGUUGGGGUGAACAAUCGAUUGAAAAAUAUUUCAAUUUUAUCUUUGAAGAAGUUCAUCAAAUAAAAUAUCUAAUAAAUAUACCCUCCGAAGGGAGCAUCACCGUAUCAUGAAGUCGAGGUAUAUAUAUAAUUUUAUUAUUGAACUAACAAUGGAGCCCGUGGGAAAAUUAUCUUAAAUUUUCCCUCUCCCACUCAAUAUUUUAAAAUUGGUUUUUCCUUUUUAAAACAUACAUAUUGUUAAUUGCAUGCUUCCUAUAAUAUUAUCUAGAUGAUCUCAAAUAUUAUUAAGCAUAUGCAAAUUUCAAACAAUAUAAUGAAAUUCAUUAUUAAUGAAUGACAUGUAUCAUUAUGCAUAGAGUGGCACUACCUAUUCUAUAUGACAUGUCAUCAUGGCAUGUUAUCAUCCAAAACAUAAUAUAUAGAAAAACAAUUAAAUAAUCUUAAUUCAUGGCUUUCCUAAUAAUGAAAAAUACAUUAACCCUAAGCCUAAUCUUCAUUGGGCUUCUUGUCAAUGUCCAUCUUCCAUAAUCAUGUCUUUGUUAAUGGACUAGGAAAAAUUAGGCUUUUAAAUUUAUAAUUGGUCCAAUUUUAAUUUUGAAAGAAAAUAAAUAAAUAAUAAAAAAAAAAUUUUAUUAAAAUAAAACUUUUGGACCAAAAAUAAAUUUAAUGUGUUCAAUUUUAUCUAUGUAUUUUAAUCCAUUAAGCCCAAAUUUUAAUUGGGCCUAAAACUAGGAUUCUUUAAGUCCAAAACUGUUUUUGGAUUUAAACGCAAAAAAUUGAAACAUUUCUGCCCGAAAGAAAACUUAUGAAACCAUAGGGACCUUCAUGAUAAAAACCAUGAAACCCUAAAAUCAUAUUUUUCUUUCUUUCAUCUUCCCCAGCCGCCAUCUCCACAAAGGGCAGCGACUGUUCACGCAUCUCCGACGCCGAUUUGCUGCCGCCGUCACGCCAGAAACGCACCCAAACGACGCCCUCCACCAGCAGCCUGUGCACGCGCGUCACAAGUCCUCGCCCGCGCUGAUGGUAGCGGUGCUUGCAGCGUUGCAGCGCGCGCUGCAGCUGCAGCGUGUGCAGCGCCCGCUGCUAGCAGCGUGGCUGCUGGGCGCUGCGCGUGCAGCGCGCGCUGCUGGCAGCAUGUGCAGCGCGCGCUGCUGGCAGCAUGUGCUGCUGGCCGCGCGCUGCUCCCGCAGCAGCGUGUGCUGCUGGCCGCUCGCUGCUGCGUGCGCUGGUUCGUUGCUGCAGUUUCCAGCAAGUUUCCGCAAUUUUCCAGUGAUGAUUCUUCAUUGAUUUACAAAUUCUCAACGCAAAUUAUGGCUUACAAAAUUUCAAUUACAUUAAAAUAAAUCAAGAGGAAAACAUGGUGAUAAUAGACCACCCCUCUUGUUACAGAUCCAAACGAAAAAUACAGUAGAACAUCUAACCAUGAAUUAAGACAAACUAUAAACAUGCUUUAUUCAUAUAUUAAACAAAUAAUAUAUAUCUGAAUAAAAUGUGCCACUCUAAUACAUAAAUUUCAAGAAUGAUUUCAUACGAAAUUCUUAUAUAUUAAUAUGAGAGGGCUCUGAUACCAAUUGUUGGGGAAAAAUUAGGUUUUUAAAUUUUUUAUAAAACCUUAUGAAGAUCGCUCUCAUAUAAUACAUAAGAAUUUGUAUUCUAGAAAUCGUACCUUGAAAAUCUGAGUUGGCUUUUUCCGGUGAAGUGAUUUAGGCUCCUAGAUCACGAUCCGCCACCACCACUCCUGUUAGAUCACGAUCCGUCACCACCACGCUUGUUAGAUCACGAACUGUCACCAAUGAUCUUCCAGGUUAUGACUCAGGUUCGAUCUGCACUUGACGUGUGGGCGCCGUUAUCACUACCAAAGCAACUAGCACGAGAAAAUUUUUCUCUCAACAAUGGAGAGAAAAAUCUUUUUCUCUGAUUUGUAUAAAGUGGCUUCUUCUUUUCCUUUUUGGGAAAAUAAGCCUUAUAUAUCUCCCUUUAGUGAAAACCCUAGGCUCCAAGGAUUCCCCAAAAUAAAACUCACGUUACUUUUCAUUUAAUAGGAGACCCACCAUGUAAAAUAACAUAAGGCCCCUUACACAUAAGCUUAUUAAAUGGAGCCUCCCACUAAAUGAUAUAUUUAGGCUUUUGACCCAAAUAGCUAGUUAUCUUGCUUAUUAGUCCAGCAGUGGUGCAAUCAAUUAAAUGAGCUAACCCGGGGAUCAUUUGGGAACAUACAAUAGUGGCUACAAUAAUUAGGCCUGUAAUUAAACUAGCCUAAUUAUUUAAUUCCAAAUCUACUCCACUAAAAGAUUGGAACUGACUUCCAUAAUUGUAUGCUCGAAUAAUAAUUCGUCCCAAGCCACAUUGAUUUCUUUACUGCACAAUCCUUUGUACCACAUCGUUAAUUAAAUUGAUAUCUCAACUGUCCAAUCAAUUUAAUAACAUCUUAUUCCUUGAUCCUUACUGGUUUUCUCUAAUGAUCAUUUUCAACAUACUAAAUAUGUUGACACACUCUGGCCAGAGAAUUCUAUGAUCAAGUACCGAAAACCUAUCAAGAGAUGUGUUGUACAAAUUCUAUAUUGUUAAUCCAUAACUCCAAUACUCAUAAUUGCUCCCACCAAGAUACCGGGUAAUCUUGACCACAAGGAUGUGUCGUGCCCAUUGGUAACUCAAAUAAAAUAACAAUUACAAUCAUGAAAUCAUAAUUAACUCAAGAUUAAGAUUACAGUAAAAUCAACGCCUAUGAGAUUUAAUAAGUCUGACAGUUAUUACAAAGUUAAUUAAAUCUCAUAUGUGAUCCUGUUCAAUGUAGUCGCACUACAUCAAUAAAUUCAUACAUGAUUAAGACAAAUCAUUCAAUGAAUUUAUUACAGUCUAUACCUAAAUAAAGUGUCCAACUUUAUUUAUCAACUGCGAACUAAAUUUAUUUAAUCAUAAGAUAACUUGUAUUUAUGUCUUCUGUGAAUCCACAUGGUGAUCACAUAAAUACAUAUAAUAUGAUUAAAUGGACUUUAAUACAAAUAUUAAUGCAAUUAAGAUAUUUGAAUAAAAUACCUCAUUUAUUUUAUUAAUCAGAAAAAUUGUUUAUUACAAUUAAAUAAACACAUAUGCUUUUAAAGAGCAUAUUUUCCCAACAGCAACGACUAAAAUCUGUAAACCAGACUGUGUUUGCAUGAACAAUAUAAUGAGAUUUUUUGCAUUCUUAAUCAAUUCAACCAACACAACAUGAAAAGUAACAAGUUUAUUAUUAUUUCUUCAAUUAUUGAUAAACUUCCCCCCACUUGAAAAGACUAUGAAAAUAGUCUUAAAUAUAGCAAAGAGGAAAUUAGCCUGGAAGGCAUGGCAAAGUCUUCAUAUUGAAUAGAAACUUAGACUUAAUAGUCUUGAGGAACAAACUGCUAUGUCCUCUGAAAUUAAUGUUGUGGAGGAGGAGAAGGAGCUUAAGCAGUCUAAUGACCGCAUUAAUAACCAAAAGCAAAAGUUUGAUUUCAAAUAGAAUCAAACCAACAGAAUAAAAAAAGAAGUGUACAUGUGACCAAUGUGAAAAGCCUAGCCACUUUAAAAAAGACUGUCAACUUCUUAAGAAAUAAAAGAAGUGUUCGAACACAAAUUUUGUGGACAAAAUUUAUGGCCGUGAUAUCUGAGAUUAAUAUUCUCGAACAUGAUAAUGCAUGGUGAAUAGAUUCCGGUGCAAUCAAGUAUGUGUACAAGAAUCGUAGCUUUUUCAUAUCUUACAAAGCAAUGCAUGAUUGAAGUGUUCUUUAGAUGGGAAAUUCCUCCAGUGCAUCAAUUAGAGGGAAUGUGCAACUAGAGUUCACUUGUGGAAAAACUUUAACUCAUAUUGAUGUUUAUCAUGUAUCUAAAGGUAGGAAAAAUCUUGUAUCUAUAUUAGGGUGGUACCUUAUUUGAGUCAAAGCAAAUUUGCAUUGUUUAAGGGUGGUACCUUUAUUGGGAAAGGAUACAUGUAUUAGGGAAUGCUCAAGCUCAAUAUUAAUAAAAUUAAUGUUUCUUCUGCUUACAUGAUUGACUCAUUAUCUUUGUAGCAUAUUCAUUUAGGACAUGUGAAUAUUAAAAGAUUGCAUGUCAUGGCUAAUUUAGAAUUAAUUUUUAAACAAGGAAACAAUGAUACUGCAUCACUCUCUUUUCAGCCCUCUUUCCUGAAACAAAUUUUAUUGUAUAACAUCAAUACUAUAUGCAUCAAAUAUCUAAUAUAUUGUUUACUACAGGGAUAUUAUAUUGAUUCUUGGCAAGCUUGCAACAUUCAAGAGUAUUCAAGUUUGCUUCCAUCGAUGAACAAUGCAAGCAAACAAAUAAGUGAUUCAUUGUAUCCUGGAGGUGUAUUUGUUUAGCCUAUAUGCAUCACUUAAUUGGUGGGACAAAUAAUAUCUUUAGGAAAGCGACAUUUGUAAUGUGCCUUGAAGUACACAUUAAUUUUCUACAGAUUACCUAUUACUAUUAUUUUAUUAUACUUAUAGAAUUGUAAACACAUUAAUUAAUUAUAAUAAAGUUCCACUUCCACCUUUAUUACUGUAAUUCUCUACAUUUAUCAUUCCCCACAAAUAUAUAUCCCAGCACUUAGUAGAUAUAUUAUUUUAUUAUAAAUAUCAAUAGAUUUUUAAUUGUAUAAUACAUACUUAUGAAAUUGUAUAGAGUAAUUCCGUUCAAUUAUAUUAAUCCGUUAUGAAUUUCAUCACAAAUUUAUUUGUGGCCAAUACCGUGCAAGUGAAAUUUCAGAUAAAAUCAUCUCCUAGCAAUUUAUUUUUUUUAUAGUUUUCAAUUUUGCUUUAACGUAUGGAUCCAUUUCUUGUCUAUAUGGCAGACAACUUUUAUUAUCAGGUAGGCAAAAUCAAAAGCCAUUAUGUCGUUAAUUUUAUUAUGCCAUGACAGACUCCAAGAUCUAAUUUAGAGAGCGACUCAAAUAAUGGUAAUUAGUAAUUCAUUAUAUCUGCAGUUAGCUAGAUACUUUGUUUGUGAAAAAAAAGAAUAAAAUUAGUUUCAUAAUGAUUUUAUUUACAAUAAAUACCAUACUAUGGUCCAUGACUUACCUCAUAUUACAAAGAAAAUAUGUGAAAGAUAAUUAAGGAUUAAAGCUUUCCACAAAGAUUUAUAAAAUUGCUUUUGAGAAAACUGUUCUGAUGAAAUGAAAUUAUAUGAAAUUACUAAGAAUUUAGUUAGCCUCUCAAAAAGGUUUAUUUAUUGCUUGACUUCUCGAGCUUAAAAUUCGAAUGUCAAAAUAGAUAAAAAGUUAAAAAAUUAUUUUAAAUUUAUCCACCCGUUUACCAUUUUAAUAUAUAAAAAAGAAUUACUUACUUUUUAGUAAUUAUGACUAUUUUUAGCAAUAGCAACCGGGGGCAUAAUAUAUCUGAUAGAUUUUUUUUGGGGAACAAAGCUUAUUAUCUCUCUCUCCUAUUGCUUUAAAGUGUCAUCUCUUAUGUUAAACAAGUCUCAGCCAAAGAUUAAAUUGUCAUAUGUUCGUAAGAUAUUCACCACAAAAGUCUAGGGAAAUUUCUUCAUCCUUGAGCGGAAAUACAAAGAAAAACAUAGUUAGCAAUUUUACUAGCAAAACUAAUAUUUUGUUACGUAUGGAGUAAAUCUUCAGGGGGCUCAAGCUCAAACUUAGAAAAACAUAGUUAUUUUGGACGCUUUUUCUAUUUAUAGCUAUUAUGUAGUCAUAAGGAAUUUCGAAAUUUGAGAAGUUUGCUUGUAGCUGCAGGCUGCAGAGAUUUUGAUUUGGCGACUUUGAUUGAUAAUUGAAGUUACUGUUGCAAGAGAAAUGAAAAAAAUAAUUAGCAAAAUAAAAGUCAAAGAGCUAGGCACAAGGCUAUUUGUCAUUUUGUCAUAGUAGAAAAAUAAUUAACAAAAAAAAAAUUCAGUUACUUUGACUUUAUUUCACAAAAUAUAAAAUUAAAUUUCUAUUAUAUGUAUAAAGUUUCUAUAUGAAGUGUUUAGGGGUCAAAUCAGUCUUUUUAUACAUAAUUUUUAAUAUUCACUUAGAAAUCUCAAAAAACUUUCAAAGCUUGUAGGGUCAUGAUCCCCUCUGGGAGUGGACAAAUGUGGGUUUAGAUCAACGCGUUUCUGGUUGAUAGGGUUAGAAUAUUCAAAUUGGAUUAGAUCGGAUAAAAAAUUCAAGUUAAAUUCGGAUCGCAUUGGGUUAUAAUUAUAAGCAAGUUAGGUUGGGUUUGGGUUAAAAUCAUAUUCGGGCUAGUUAUGAUGGAUUCAAAUAAUGUUCGGAUUAGCAUUAUUUUUAAGCCUUUUUUGUUUAUUUUGAAUUUUUUUAAUCAUUUUAGUUCUUGAAGAUUGUUUUAAAGUAAUUAUCUCAUUUCAGUUUUUUUUUUACCAAUUUUCAACAAAAAAUGAAAACUAGUCCUAUGAAAUCAAAUUAAUAAAAAUUAAAAUAAACUACUACUAUCAGAUUGGAUUGGAUCUCCAUCUCUUCCUUCUUCUACAUUUAAGGUAAUUUUGAGCCAUCCAUAGUGUAAUUAGUUCCUCUUUACACAUAUUGUAACCUUUUGAAAAGAUAGCACAAUGUGAGAAAUAUUGUUUUACUAUGGAUGACAAAUCAUUAUAACUUAACGACAAAGGAGCCAAAAGACCUUUCCCAAACUCUUCUACCUUCCACAUUCCACUAUCUAAAAUUAUUUUCUAUUCUUCUAUUGGUCAUUUAUAGUGUAAGAAUUUCCCUAUUAUCUUUGCAACAAAAGGCAAGCCUUUGCACUUACAUGCAAUUUUUUGAUCGAUUGAUCACGAUCCUUGAAGAAUUGACCCAAAAAUGCUACUUGCUUAAACAAUGACCAACAUUCUGUUGGGAAAAUAUGCUCUUUAAAAGCAUAUGUGUUUAUUUAAUUGUAAUAAACAUUUUUUCUGAUUAAUAAAAUAAAUGAGGUAUUUUAUUCAAAUAUCUUAAUUGCAUUAAUAUUUGUAUUAAAGUCCAUUUAAUCAUAUUAUAUGUAUUUAUGUGAUCACUAUGUGGAUUCACAGAAGACAUAAAUACAAGUUAUCUUAUGAUUAAAUAAAUUUAGUUCGCAGUUGAUAAAUAAAGUUGGGCACUUUAUUUAGGUAUAGACUGUAAUAAAUUCAUUGAAUGAUUUGUCUUAAUCAUGUAUGAAUUUAUUGAUGUAGUACGACUACAUUGAACAGGAUCACAUAUGAGAUUUAAUUAACUUUGUAAUAACUGUCAGACUUAUUAAAUCUCAUAGGCGUUGAUUUUACUGUAAUCUUAAUCUUGAGUUAAUUAUGAUUUCAUGAUUGUGAUUGUUAUUUCAUUUGAGUUACCAAUGGGCACGACACAUCCUUGUGGUCAAGAUUACCCGGUAUCUUGGUGGGAGCAAUUAUGAGUAUUGGAGUUAUGGAUUAACAAUAUAGAAUUUGUACAACACAUCUCUUGAUAGGUUUUCGGUACUUGAUCAUAAAAUUCUCUGGCCAGAGUGUAUCAACAUAUUUAGUAUGUUGAAAAUGAUCAUUAGAGAAAACCAGUAAGGAUCAAGGAAUAAGAUGUUAUUAAAUUGAUUGGACAGUUGAGAUAUCAAUUUAAUUAACGAUGUGGUACAAAGGAUUGUGCAGUAAAGAAAUCAAUGUGGCUUGGGACGAAUUAUUAUUCGAGCAUACAAUUAUGGAAGUCAGUUCCAAUCUUUUAGUGGAGUAGAUUUGGAAUUAAAUAAUUGGGCUAGUUUAAUUACAGGCCUAAUUAUUGUAGCCACUAUUGUAUGUUCCCAAAUGAUCCCCGGGUUAGCUCAUUUAAUUGACUGCACCACUACUGGACUAAUAAGUAAGAUAACUAGCUAUUUGGGUCAAAAGCCUAAAUAUAUCAUUUAGUGGGAGGCUCCAUUUAAUUAGCUUUUGUAUAAGGGGCCUUAUGUUAUUUUACAAGGUGGGUCCUCUAUUGAAAAAGAAAAUAACGUGAGUUUUAUUUAGGGUAUUAUUUGGAGCCUAGGGUUUUCACUAAAGGGUGAUAUAAAAGGCUUAUUUUUCCCAAAAGAAAAAAGAUGAAGCCACUUUAUACAAAUUGGAGAAUAAGAUUUUUCUCUCUAUUGUUGAGAGAAAAAUUUUCUCAUGCUAGUUGCUUUGGUAGUGAUAAAGGCGCCCACACGUCAAGUGCAGAUCGAACCUGAGUCAUAACCUGGAAGAUCAUUGGAGACAGUUCGUGAUCUAACAAGCGUGGUGGUGACGGAUCGUGAUCUAACAGGAGUGGUGGUGGCGGAUCGUGAUCUAGGAGCCUAAAUCACUUCAGCGGAAAAAGCAAACUCAGAUUUUCAAGGUACGAUUUCUAGAAUACAAAUUCUUAUAUAUAUUAUAUGAGAGCGAUCUUCAAAAGGUUUUAUAAAAAUUUAAAAACCUAAUUUUUCCCCAACACAUUCUUCUUCAAUUAAUUCCUUAAGAAAUGUAAGAUUUGUUGAUCUCAUCAUGCUUGCUACUUACUGAUUACGUGCAGUAAUCAAAAUUUGACUAUCGUAGAGACCAUUCUUUAAACAAUAGAAGAAUGGUUCCCAUUAAUUGUAAUGUCCAUCCCACACAUCAUUUAAGACAAGAAAAAAGUAUCUUUCCCUCAAUACAUUUAUGAAUAUGGCUUACAAGAGAUAACCUAAUAUUUGAACAUCGUUUUCGGGAUGGUUGCUCCUUUGAUUGUGUGGUCGCACCAUGAUAACAAGUGAACUUGCUCUGAUACCAGCUGAUGAUGCAGAAACACUAAAAAGCUAUUAGAUAAUAUAAACUAGUAUUUGAAUAAUAAGUUUUAUUGAGAAUAAUUUGAAUGAACAAAAUUAGGGUUUUGAAUCCCAUUUAUAGGAGCCUAAAUAUAGCAAAUUUAACAAACUAAGCAAAUUCAAAAUAUUAUAUGAUAAUAAAAUUCUUCAAAUCUAAAUAAGAGAAAGAAAACAGAUGGCACUUAAAUCCAACAUCUAGAAAAAAUGAUAAAAAUCCUAGAAGAAUCAAGAAAAAUAAAAAAAUAUCUUAAAACUGAAAAACGACUAUAAAAGAAGUGAAACUUUUAGCUCAAUCGCAGGGCAUAACAGCCUAGGUCGUUCUGUAUUUGGUUCGACUCAUCGCAAGCUUGGAAACUAUAUUAUAUGUCCAAAACAAAUACUCGUAGCCCAAUUUCUAGCCUCGGAAGACACCAUGCUUAUUCCAUGCAACUAUCUUAUAUCAACUUGCCUUCUCUGCAUCUUCAAGCACAACUUGAAUGUCUUGAAGAUUUAUGGCAAGUCACAAGCAGCAAAGGAGUUCAGCUACUCCGGGAGAGGGGAAGCGAUCACAUCCAUUCUGGCAAAGAAAAGGAGAAAUAAUUUCAUAAGUUGUUCAACGUGCUUUUGUUGCGAAAAUACUUAAAGAAACGAGUUGUUGCAUUCUUCUUACACUACACGAAAAAUGUUUAUGGUUAUUGUCGCCCACCCCACGCGUCAAUAAUUUUAGCAUUUUUAAUUUCCCUGAUUCUACUCCACAGCUGUGAUACAUAAUUGUAAAUAUUCUCUAAUUAAUUUGUAGUGGUCGGGCCAGUGCCAUUUAAAACCAAAAAAAAAAAAAAAACCAAAAGAAAAAAAAGACAAAAGUUGGAAAAAAGCAUGCAUCACCGAUAAUUUAUUUAUUUGUCUGAGGACGGGGAUAUUUUCUACCCACUUCUUUUACAAAUCUACCCACUUCUUUUACAAAUCUACCUUGCUGUCAGAAAAUAAUUGUAAUACGUUCAUACUAUUUUUAAAAUAUAUAAAUCAAUAAAAUGUAUAGACAAUCAAUAAAUUAAAUCAUUCAUAUAAUUUUUUAUUUUUUUAACUUAGGUGUCUUUGACCAUUUAGGUUGCUUUAAGAUAAGUUUUAUUUGACUAAUUUACCAUGAUAAUAUAAAAUGACUAAAAUACCCCAAGAAUCAAGAGUUCUUGUAUAUAAUAGUUUAGGUAUUUUAUUUUUUUGAUUCAAUCUCCAAACUUAUUGUAAUUACAUCUUCUUUAUUUCAAUUUUUAAGAAAUAAUUUGAACUUAUUGUAAUUAUUUCUUGAGAGUGGGGUGGGUUUACAAAAAUUAUGGGCCUUUUCGUUUAUUAAUUCUUGGAAAUUAAUGGCUCCGUAAUCAAUUUCUUUUGUUCUUUUAUUUAAAUAGAAAAGAAAAAUUAAGAGGAGCUUUUGUCUAUUGAAUUGAGGUUCUGUGAAGAAAAAUACGUAUCAAAUGAUCGACGGAUUGUACUUUUCAAUUUUUACUUCACAGUACUUUUCUUUAUUUGCUGGGUCAUUUAUGUUGUUUUGGACGGAUUUAAGUGUUCUUAUACAUUUUAUUGAAUUUUAUUUUGAUAAAAUCACCAACGAUCAGUAGAGAUUUACACUACUUAUCUGAGUAUUUGGUUCUCUAAUGUAAGGAAGCAUGUAAUCUUUCGCCAAUAAUUUUUUAUUUCAUCAAAAUGUUAAAAUGUUGAAAGGAGAAUUAGUUUAUAUAUAUAUAUAUAUAUAUAUAAGAGAAUUAGAGUUCAUAUUGAAGAAACUUCUUUUUCCUACUAUAAGUCCAGUUCGAAUCUUUGAAGCAAAUGAUCUAAUCUCAAGCAUAGAAAGUAGGAAGAUCGAUUGAACAGCGGACACAUUAACAAAAAAUAAUUAAUUUAAAAAGUUAAUAUUGGAUAUCAUAAAAAUUUUAUUAUUAUUAUUGGAAGUUGGUAUGUUGAAAAAUAAACAAGCUUUAUAUGAACUUUAAACACAGAUAAUAAUUUGCAUGUAGUGAAAUUGCUUAAUACAUCCAUUAUUUUAUCAUUUUUAAUUUUAUCUAUCGGUUAUUUUCAUUUUGAAAAUAUAGGAUAAAUAAAAUAAUAACAAACACAUAUUUCAAUUGAAAAUUUAUCAACUUGAAAACACCAUUUUCAUUCUCAUAAUAUAAAUUUAAAAAUAAAAUACAGAACAUGCCCUAACAUUUUCUGAAUUUAUUUUUAUACUGUAAAAGAAUCAAAUUACUCACACAAUUAUUUUAGCUUUUAUGAUAUAAACAAAUAAUCAUCAUUUAAAUUCAAUAGAAAGAGGUAUUCUUGGUAGAAUUGACUUCUUUAGCAAAAUAUAAUCUAUUUGGGACUUCUUACUCCAUUAGGUUAAUUGUCACAUCAUUAAUUUUAGAUUAUAAACUUUAUAUUCGAACUUUGUAAGACCAUCAUUUCUCCAUUUUUAUUUAAAAAAAAAAAAUUAACUUCUUGCAUGAUCUAGUUGGUCUCCUUUCAAAAGAAACCAAAAAUAAAAGGAAAUAAAGCAUAUUAUUUAUCUUAAUUACUUUCAUUUGUUAUUGACAUGUACUCAUGCAUUGUGGUCUUUUGUAUACUUUAUCGAUAUGUUUUGCUUAAGGGAUAAAACUCAUUAUGUGGCAAAAUUUUAUUAGAGCUGGGAUUAUUUAUAUAUGUUCUAGUACUUUGAGCAUCUUACUAUACACUCGUCUAUAAAAUUUUAACAUUAAUUUUUACUACUCAUCGAAAUAUCAAAAUAGUUCUGUAACGUAUGUGAAAAAAAAAAAAAUAAUAAUAAGAGGAAGCUGGGUAAUGUUUUAUGGGCGAGAGGGAUAGAGGAAGCUGUCAACCCGACCCGGAAAACCCGACCCAAAACUGCGAACCCGACCCAGACAGAUCUCCGAUUUUCGGCCACAUCACCGGCCAUGGAUGGUAGCAACGAAAGCUCCUGAGCCAGCCAUCACUUUCCGACCGUCACUGUCGCCAAAAACCAACCGAAACGCCGCCGUUUGAAGCGCGAAUAGUCGCAGCCAAAACCUAUCACGACCGUCGUUGAUUCCGUCGGAAUUAGGCCAUGCCAGACGGAGAAAUGGUCGGCGGUAAACAGAGUUUGUAUCGGAGGUGGGGUAAAUGGAGGAUGAUGGAGAGAGGGCAACCAACGGUCAUGAUGAGGGAGAGGAGGAGGAGGGUGAGGUUAUGGACGGCUGUGAUGGGCUUGAGGAUGUGGGGUCAAUGAGAGGUGAUGAUGGUGGUGCUGUUGAUGUUGAUGUUGAUGCGUCGUGGAGGAUGAAUGUGAGGGAGAGGUAAGUGAGGGUGGAGAGAUAAGUAACUUAUAUAUAUAUAUAUAUAUAUAUAUAUAAGUAAUAUAUUAUUUAUUAAAAAUUAAUUCUUUGAACACUUAAAAUUAUUAAAAUAAAAAUUUAUUCUAUUGUUGUUAAUUCAUAAAAUUUUAAUUCAAUUAUAACAUUUUCAUUUUUUUUUAAGUUAAAUUAUAUCUUUUUUAUUAUUUUUUCCUAAAUUAAACUAAUUUUUCUCUUCUUUUAUUGUCUAAAGUUUUUCGAUAUAGUUUUAUUUCAAAAUAGAUAAAACAAGUACAAAAAAAAGUAGAUGAAUAAAAGAAUAUAUUAAAAAAAUAAGAACAAAUAGCAACACAACUAAUUAAGAGAAUAAUAAAAAGAUAAAAUCAUAAAUUUGAGAUGAAAUCAUAAAUUAACUUAUGUUUAUAUUAAGGCUAUUGUUUGAAAAUUUGAGUAACGACCAAUAGUCAUAGAAAAUAGAGAAAAUUAUUAGAUUUUUUCUUUUUCUUCUAGAGUAGAAAGUAGGGGUGUUCGCGGAUCGGAUUUUACGGAUUGGACAUCAAUCCAUAUCCGAUCCAUGAUUUUGCGGAUUAUAAUUUUUCAAUCAAAUCCAAUCCACGGAUUGAUAAAAUUCAAUCCAAAUCCAAUCCAUACAUCUGCGGAUUGGAUGCGGAUUUGACUCAAUCCAUAUCCAAUCCAUACGUCUGCGGAUCGGAUGUGGAUUUGACUCAAUCCAUAUGCAAUCCACCAUUUUGCGCAUUAGUUUUCAAAUUAAAAUUUUUUAGUUCUCUCCAACUAAUGAAAUAAAAAAAUCUAAUAUAAAAAUAAUUUUGCUACCAAUUAAAUUUAAAAUUGAAUAAAAUUUAAAUAAAUUAAUUGUUUAAAUAAAGCUAAAAUAAUACAUUUAAAGUUUCAAAAUAUAACACAUCAAGAUUAAUUAUUCAAAUAAAGCUACAAUAAUACGUUCAAAAUUUCAAAAUAUAACACACCAAGCUUAAUUGUUCAAAUAAAGUUACAAUAAUACGUUAAUAUAACACCGAAAUUAAUUGUUCAAAUAAAGCCACAAUUAAUUGAAAUGGCAAAGUUUCGGAAACCAAACACAGUCUGAUCAUUCACCAGGAUUGUUGCGCCUGUCAAAAAGUGGUGAUUACGGAGCCAUCCACGAUGGGAACCGUGAGAAGCCGUACGGGUGGCAAUCUUGAAGGUUGUGAUAGUGAAAUUGUUCAGCUAGAACCAGUGAAUGUGAAGUGGCUCGAUGGACUUGGGAAAGAAGAUGGCUUGCUCUCGCCGGAAUCGCGCAGCCAAUGUCUUUUAAAUCCGUGUCGAGAGUGUAUCCAACCAGUAUUGAGUGUUGCUAGUGUGUGUGACGGCGAGGAGCUUAAGGUUUUUUGUUGGCAAAUUAUUGGUGACUUGACGUUAUAUUACUUUGCUUUUGCUAGUGCGUGUGACUUUACUUUUAUUUUGUUUUACAAUUUUUACAAGCUAUAUUUGUAUAUUUGAUUAUUUAAUUAUUUUUCAUUUUAUAUUAUUAUUGGGUAAUGGCUAAGAUAUGUUAUAUUGCUUAGUAACUAUGCAAUGUCACAUUUAUAAUUUUUUUAAUUAAAUUUAUAAUAAUUUUUUAAUUAUAAUAUAUAUAUAUAUAUAUAUUUUUUUUUUUUUUUUUUUUGCGGAUUCACGGAUUUCCGCAGAUUUACAGAAGUAAAUCCAUAUCCAAUCCAUCGACUGCGGAUUUUUAAAUUUUCAAUCCAUAUCCAAUCCACGGAUCGGAUUUAUACGGAUCGGAUUGGAUUCUGAACACCCCUAGUAGAAAGUAGAGGAAGAAAUAUUUUUUUCCCUCUCUCUCUUUCUUUCUCUCAAACACCAAGAUGUCUUGAUUGUUAGAGGAAAAUUUUAAUGGAUAAGUAACAAAAUGUGGGGCUUUUAUAGAGGUUUAAAAUAAAUAUAAAACUUUUGAAAUAUAACUUAUUAAUUCUAACAAUGAAAUAGAGAAUUUUUAGGAUUGAAACUAUUAAUUUAUUGGUUUUGUAGAAAUUAAAACAAUUAAGUACUACAUUAAAUAAACUUUAUAAGAAUUUGAUAGUUUAUUUAGAAAAAGAUAAUUACAAAAUAAUAAUAAAUUAAAUGAAUAAUAAUGACUUUUAAAUUCAUUUUCCUCUUUUAUAUACAAAAUAAUCAUCUCGUAGGGCUUUCAUAUAAAGCGGAGUCCUAUACAACCGCCUAAGUUGCCUAGAGGUCGAACCACUACUAUUUACAAGCCAAUAUUGGAGUGUUGAGGUAACUAAAUAUGAAGCCAUGGCUGGUUUUUUGGGGGAGAAAGAUUUGGAAGAGAUGAUGUUGAGAGGAACGGGGGAGUUCAUAAAGUUUUAGGAUAACGUGGAGGGUAUUUUGGACAUAUUACUGUCUUAGCUUAAAUUUUGGGAAAAAGAUAAUCAAUAAUAAACUAUUUUUUUUAUUUUAGAUUUUAAAUCGUAAAUUUAGUAAAGGAAGUUAAAUCAAGUGAUCACUUGAUUGUUUUCCUAUCAAUAAUAAACUCUUUUUUCAUAUCAAUUUAAAACUCCGAGUGUGUCUCCAAAAAUUGUUUUCCUUUUUUUUAUUUUGGAUUUUAAAUCGUAAAUUUAGUAAAGGAAGUUAAAUCAAGUGAUCACUUUUUUUUUAUGCAAAGCAAUUAAUCUUUUUUGUAAUACCAAACUCCUAUUUCAUCUACCGAAACUACAAAAAUUAAUAUUUUCUAUCAAAUCAAAACCAAAAUUAAAAGAUAACUUAUUAUCUGCCAACUGUCAUUCAACGAAGUCAUCACUCACGCAAAAAAGGAAAAAAGAAAAAAAAAAGUGAUAUAUUGAUUUUAACAUAAUUUCAUACCUCUCUCAAAAAAAAAAAACAUAAUUUCAUACCAACAUAUCAUUCGAGGUUGAUGUGGAAAAGAACUAUUUUUAGUCCAAUUUCAUGUUUGGAUGUUGAGGUUGAUGUGGAAAGGAUGUGGCUCCCACGUAAAACCCAUCGCUUCGUUCUAAACUAAGUGAAUUUAUCUCGUGAGCUAAGUAGUUUAGGAGAUAACUCAAAUAAUUAAUUUUUUAUUAGUUCAUUAAUAAGAAUUUUUUAUUAUAUUUUAAAAAGUAUAAUUCAUUACCAAAAAAAUAUUCUUAAUAAAAAUAACUGUUAUUUAAGAUAUUACAUUUUGACAAUAAUAAAAUAAUUCAAAAUUAAUUAAUUUAAUUUGAUCUCAUACUUUAUUAUUAAAAAACUUAUAAUAUCUUUAUUAAUUUUAUUAAAUUAUUAUUUAAAAGUCAUACAUUUACUGCACACUGUCAACUUUCUGCUAUUUUUUUUGUUCUCACAACAACUAGUAAUAUCAAACAAGAGCUAAGUUAAGUAUGAUCAAUUAAUUAAAGUUUUCAUUUUUUGUAUAAAAUAAUCCUUAGAUAAUUAGUCUAUAAAGAGUAUUGGCUACUUCAAAUGGAAACUUGUGAUCAAAAGUGUAUUACAGAAGUGACAAAGGCACACUAUAUGAGAAAUCUGAAAUAGAAUUUGCAAACUUGAACUGGGUUACAGAGAGUUAAUAAGACUCCAAAGGAACAUGGAAACUAUUAUCUUUAUUAAAUAAUAGUAAUACAAGCUAUUAACUGACUAUUAUCUUUAUUAAUUUCCAUAGCGAAAACAAAAUUAACUUUCCUAACUGACUAGAAUUUAACUCAAGGAAAAUUAGAAUAUACGACGUUGUAUCACAUACGGUAUUUAGACAUCAAGAGAAGAUUCCCUCUAUCAGUGAACUAUACUUGCCAGGAAAUUAACCCCAGGCGAGUACCACCACCUCCUACUAUUUCUUAGGUGUCUCAGAGUUUGAUGAGGACUUCCAUGAUGUGUCUCUUCGACAGGCAGCGAAAUUGGGCAAUUGACUACAUUAACUCCAACAAAUUUAUGCAGUCACCUUCCUCCGGACUAUCCUCUUUCUUCGCGCUUUAGUUGCCCUUAUUUCCCCUUUAAUACAGUCAACAUUAUCUUGUUUGAUGCCAAGGAGACCAAGCCCAGAAACAAUGGCAUUCUUUGAUAUCAACCACCUGGGGACUUUUGAGCUGAGCCAUGACAUCCUGAGAUGGCCUGUUGUGUAAGCCUUCUUCAAAAGGUCAUCCGUUAAUCUUUCUCCUAAUUACACAUUCAAAACCCUGCAUGGAAUCGAUUUGAGAAGUUGGACAAUAGACAAACUCCAACACAUAUAGACAGUAAAGAAGAAUUUAGACCGCAAUCACUGUGGCUCAACAAAUGGGCCUAUUAAGCCUAUUAAAAGUUGGAACCAUAUUCACCGCUCGCAUUUCCUUAGAGAACUAUAUCAGAAUUCUGUAAAUGUAAAACUAUUCUUACAUAUUUAACUGUAAAACAAGAGAAAUUGUACUUCCGUAGCAAAGUCUCGCUAUUGGUAAGUAUUGGACUUGGAAAGGAUGCUAGUUGAUGAAGUAAAGGAAAAUUGAAAUCAGACUUUGAGGUGACAGAUCUAUACACUUCAAUAGGAACCACAUUGACAUCAUAUGAGACAAAUAAACAUUCCCCAGUCAAAGUUUAACAAACAAAACAUUAAAACAAGAGUAAGUUGGUCUAUCAAUGUAUAUAUAGACAUGUCGAUCAAUAGACAAAUACGUAAAAGAGGGAGGGAGAGACCUCAAAGCCGUGCUACUCCAAUAACUUCAAAAUUGUUGGUGACCACUCUAUCAAAUCCACCCAAUAGUUGCAUACACUCACCGAUGGGUUUGUCACAGAUAACCUGUUAGGCAUUAAAAAUUGCCCAAAUUAAACAAAUGUUAGACCAGCUUAGACAGUAAACGGAACAAUAUUCUAAUUUUACUUUAUUUAUAACGAAUAAGUGAACAAAGGAAUAAAAAGGAAUUUUGGCAAAGAAUCCUGCAGCUAAUCCCACCAUACACCGCUCUGCAGGCUUAUUUGGGAAUCAAAAUUCUCAAAAUGUACUAAGAAAUGACAUUUGUUUACUAGUCCCACCAACAAGGAGGAAGUGACGUGAAGAGAAUUUACUAAGAAAUGCCAGUGUAUUAAUAUUGAAGGAAAACAUUCACAGACGACCAAAAUCGCUGAUAUAUACUUAAUUUCUCACUCACUAAGAACGUUCAAUUCAUUCAAAUGAAACUUCCACAGGAAGGUCUCAUUAUUAAGGCUUUAGCUUCACCUCACAUGCUCAACAAUUCAAAUUUGAGGAUGAUAUUUCUCCGAAUGGAGGGCUCUAUUUGGCUUGCCAAUAAUCUUCCUCACAACUAUCAUCCUUGCUAUAUCGGUUGCACUGAGCAAUCUUCAUUCUGAUAUUUGCCCUAUUAAGCUGAGUACACAAGAAUCCGAAACAACUGUUAGAAAUUUUAAUCUUUAUAUAUAGCCAAAAUGGUGAAUAAGAUGAUGUAUUGAUAAUAAAUACCUGAGUUAAUAAAUAAUUAAGGGGCCGGUAACAAUCUCAGCAUUUUAUCAGGUGGGGAAAGCCUUCGCAACGAAGAUGCUGCUUGCUUUCAAGCAAUAAUAACUUUCCAAUUCCAUAAGAUAGCUUAAUGCCCUUUUAAGAAUAUCUCCACCAGCCUAACAAUUAUUCAUGGAAAUCCAAUUUGCAUUUGUCGCCUUCAAUUUGCUCAUCUUUGUCUAGAGUAUUGUUUUUGCAUUAACUUAGCUAGCUUGCAAACCACCUGCAGAUGGUUUUAAAUAAUGUGUGAGAGUGUGAAUUCAAACGAAUUAAUUAAAUAUGAUGACAGGAGAAACAAAAUUAAAAUAACCACAAGAAGUAGAACUAUACUUUUGUGAUAUUCAGAGCAUCUCCUACUGUCUUCAUUUCCCUUAGCUCUGUUUCCCUUUGUGCUCGAACACAAUGCCUCAAGGCUCAAGAUAAUUUGAUGACCAUCAAUCUUUUUGCAGCCACAUGUAGACUUGAAAAACUGUUGGCGGCCCUAAAGAACUUGAAAAUUAGAAAAGAUUCAGAAUGAGUGACUAAAUAUUAUAAUCGAAACUAAUUAAACAAACGCGCCUUGAAAAUCUGAAACUGAAUUACUCAAAUGUAUAUGCCCCUUCACAGCAAUUGCAUGCACGUGGUGGAAAUUUUACUGCGAAGACUUUCUCAAACCUUGAAGAUCACACUCGGCCUGACAACAAAGAAACAAAGUCAAUAUACGAAGAUGAUUUUACUAACAAGUGAGAGCUUACAAAUAUUUGAAGGAUAACGAUCACUCAUAACCCAAAUCCCCAGUAUUCCCUAAUAUUUCACUCAAGUGAGUUCAAGCUCCCAAAUUUCACUACAGUGAAAUGUCAAAACAAAACUCUCUUCUCAAAUUUGAUGAUGAUAUCUCUCGAAGGGAGGCAAAAGAAUCUAACACUGAUCAAAUUGGCUUGUGAACAAUUAAUCUUCCUCGCCAUCAUUCAUACCAGGUGCGGUGAAAAAUCUUCAUUCUGAUAUUUGCCUUAAUAAGCUGCUUAGUAACCUUAACCUGAUAACUCACACAAACAAAAACAACUUGCCUAAAGUUUAAUAUUUCGAGCAGAACAGUAAAGAAGAUGAUAUCUAUUGAUGCUAAAAUUUGACCUGUGUUACCCUGAUGUCAAAAAUCAUAGCAUCUCAUGUGGGCAAAAUCUUCGCAACACGAGAUGCUUGCAAAAUUGGAGCAGCAUCUUAUCACCUGUAAUUUAAUUGAGACAAUAACUUUCCCCAACCAUUUCAAUGCAUUAUUGGCAACUAAAUUCAGAGGGUGCUAAUUAAAUACCCUUUUAACAAUAUCUUCUUAUUCUUCUUCAAUCUAACAAUUAUUUGGAAAAUCUAAAUGACAAUCAUGCAUCGAUGGCAUGAAAAUUUGGCUAAAAAGUAGCCUGGAAAAGGCUGCUCUCUGAAUGAGAGCAUGAAUUCGAACAAAUAUGAUGAAUGAAUAAAUAAAGGCAUAAUACCACAAGAAGUAAAACUUUUACCCAGAUUUCUGUUUCUGUUUGUGCUAAAACCAAUGGAAACCGAUGGAAAUGAAUUUCUACGAAUUAGACAUAUCAGCCAAAACAGGUACUCUGUACAAGCAAAGUAAAAGAGGGUUACAAAAAAUUUUAAUAUUGAUAUGAUAAUUAUAAUUAUAAUGAAAAUUUCAGUUACCAUAUAAUUAAUAGAUAACUCUGUACAUAAUGAUUUAUUGCAUAUUAAGAUUGUAUACCUGAAUUUUAAUUGCUUUACAAAAUAUGGUAGUAGCAUUAGGAGACCGCACCAAACGUACCGAAUUGAAUGUGCCUUUUCACAGCCAUUGUACCAGCUUUGAAGCAUUACCACAAAUGCUUUUUCAAACCCGUGAACAUGAUGCACCCGAGAGAUGAUUAUCUUAGCACCUAAACAUCAUGCAAUAAUAAUCAUCAUGUCUUUCAGGCAGCUAUCCAUCCUCAAUUGAAACAGAGCAGACCCGGCCAUCACUUCCUUCUUCAAAUUCCAGCAACCAAACGUUGCACAAUAACCACAGUGAUAAUCCUUGGUUACCCCAAUGUUCUCCAUAGAGUCUUCAACGUCAACCUAAAAAUGAAAUAAAAAUGCAAUGCAGGUGGAAAUGAAAAUUCUAUAAACUAAAUAAAAUAAAAAAUGCAAUGCUUGAGCUUGAGCUUGCUUUAAUCAUCAUAAUAAUCGAAUUUGGAUAUAUCUUUACUUCUCUGUGGUUCAAUCAUUUACUUCCCUGUUCUUGUUUAUUCACAACAAGAUAUCAAUAGAAGAAGAUGGAAAUGAAAUUCUAUAAAAUAAAGCAAGUGAAUUACCAGCAGAACAUUUUAGCAAUCCUUUGGCUAAACUUUUCAUUUUCAUAGUCUUGCUCUCCUGCCUGCAUCAUCAAAACCAAAUUAGAUUGGACCGGACAUUUCCUCGAAUCUCUGGUGAACAUAAUUAAACUCGUAUGAAAUAAAACAAAGUGGGCUAAUGUACUACUAAAAAAAUUACACAAUUACUUUAAAGAAUUAAUGUCACAUAAAUUAUAUACAAAAAAAUACGAUUAUCAUUAUACAAGAUAAAAUUGAUAAUUUAGUUUUCAACGUUACUGCAAAUGUAUCACAGAGAUUUUGUCUCUCAGGAAGUUACACAUGAUAAAUUUUGGUACAUUAAAAAAUAAAUUACAUUAGGAUUUUCCAUGAUGUUGUAUGAAAUUUUAUAAAAGUCUACUUAUUUUUUAAAAGAAAAUAUAGGAAUUUCAACAGAUUACAGUUUUUUUAAUAAUUUAAUCUUUAGAAAAUUAGUUUAACAGAUUUGAUAACUAAGAAGUUUAAAUUUUAAAUAAUUAAAAUUAAAAUAUUAUCCUAACUAACUUUUAAAUUUAUGAACUAUUGAUUAAAUCUAACCGUACAUAUUUAUACCAUGAUUGGUUUUAUAAUUUUUAUAACAGCAUCAUAGAGUGACCCAUUAAAUUAUUGGCAAAUUAAUGGCUGAAGUAAAUAGAUAAAUUCAAUAUGCAAAUCAAAAUAUUAGAAAUAUAUAAUAUAUUCAUGUCACACAUUGGCAAUAUACAGAAUUUUAAUUCAUAAUAUAAUUAUUUUUAUUAAUUUCAUUGCAAGCAACAACGGAGUAAAUCAGAGGAGGAGAAGAAAUUACCGUUGGGUGAUAUCUCGAUGUGGGGAAUGUGAGAUAUCUUAUGCCAAUCUUCUCCUUUCGCCUCCCUAUAACGGUUUUCCAGAAGAGGACAUUGCUCAAUCCUCAAUUUCUGCAGUGUCGUCAAUUGAAGAAGGUAAUCCGGCAGCACCUUUAAUUUGGGGCAAUACUCAAUUUCCAAGGAAGAAAGACGUGGUAUGUCUGUUGUCCUGUGAUCUUCUAGAAUGGGCAGUUCUUCCAAAUUUUCACAAAAACUAAUACUCAGUUCCUGCAGUGCCGUCGUUUGAAGAAGGUAAUCCGGCAGCGCCUUUAAUUUGUUGAAACCAGAAACUGUUAAAGAAGAAAGACGUGGCAUGAUGGAGAUGUUUUCCUUCCUCGUAAUCCUGUAAUUCCACUCUUCCAAUUCUUCCAUGUCCCAAAUUAUGAGUGAUUUCAAUUUGGGGAAGGCAAUAACUGAUGGUGAUGAUGAAGAUGAAGACGGGCCAUCCUCACUGCUUUCUUCUAUUCCCAAAAACUCAUUACCCACUCUUUUUACACUUUUCAAGUGGAUGAUUACGAGUUUUUCCAGAGGCAAUUUUCCCAAAGGAGGCAAAUGCUCACACUUAACGCACGAGCGAAGAUAUAAAUUCCUUAGAUUGGUCAGUGAAGUCAACCAUUUGGGAAAAAUGUUGCGUCCAUAUAAUAUAAUCCCUAAUUUCUCUAAAUUCACAGGCGGUUGUAAGGCUUCAAGAAGUAGUUUAUCUUUCUCAUUCUUCCUCCUCCCUUCUUCGCCUUCCCCAGCUACGACUCUACCAAACGCAAGAUGCAAACGAAGGAGGUUUUUCUUAUUGUAAAGUUGUGACCUCUCAGCCUCAUCUACAUGCGAUACAUUACCCAGCCCUUCUAUUCCACAUUCACGAAGGAGUUGAAGAUUUUUCAGAGAUUCAAGCCUACACGUGCUGCCGCCAUCAACACCUCCACCCACAACAAACUUUUCUAAUGUUCGAAGACUCGUUAAUUUGGAAAUCCCUAUUGGCAGGUACUUCAACGAACGAGUUUUAUCAUUCAGUAAACUCCUCAUGUUCAUUAACUUCCCAAUCCCCGCUGGCAAUUCUCUAAGAUUCUGGCACCACCUAAUAUCUAGCUUUUGUAAAUUAUAUAAUUCACACAAAGUCUCAGGUAGUCUCUUUAUGCCUAAUUCAGAUAAAUUAAGAUAUUUUAAAUGUAUCAAUUUUUCAACAUUUUCUGGAAUUUUUCUAAUCC
rnacentral:lncRNA from 1 species